UGACCGCUGUAUGUUGCAACGUGAUAUCGUCUUACGAUUUUCACCUAGCAGAAGUGUUCCGCCAGAAGAAAAAACCCCUAGCAGAAGUGUGAUGUACAUAAAAGCACCUGGCAUAGAGGGACGCAUUGCACAGUUUGGGAGAAAAGGGGGAUACAUUGCUGGUGUGCAUCCUUGUCACUUAGGCACCACAGAUCAGAGCCAUAGCACACUUGCGGGGUGAAUGGAUGUUGCACAUAGAAUUAUGGGCCGCCACAUGCUGUGUAUAACUUGUUUACCCGUGUCUCUAGCAGUAAUUUUGUACGUACAUAUACAGAUAUAAACGGGAGAGAGAGUGUAAAAAAGAGCGAUUAGAUUUGAGCGGUUGAACACCAGGUGGAAAAACAGAGGUGCAUUCAGUGGAGCACGUCCGAUGGCGAUUGCGCCGGCACGAGCGAGCAGAUGUGCAUUCUCACCUCAUGUGUAUAGAGUAAAGAGCUUUUGCCCAAUGUCAAGUUCUCCAACCGGCUGUAAUACAAACAUCAAAGGACAAAAGGAGUCGUCACCAACGCCAUCUGUCGAAGUCUCAAGGAAAUACCCAACCCAAUGUACACUUGACUUUUGUCCCCUGGCAUCAGUUGAAUGAUAAUCUCUCUCGCGUGUCAUGGAAUACUCGGUCAAGAAACAGCUGGGCUUGAUUUGUGAUAAUAAUAAACGUUGGUUGAUAUGGAACGAAACUGGAUUGUCCUAAGUGUUGUAGAGACGGUCAGUCGGCUGCCUGUAAUAAUCUCUGCCACGUUGACGGCCGUGUCCCAUCCCUAUCAUGCCUACAGUUUUGGUCAGCCGCACAAUUUGACGCAAACGCGAUUUGCCUGGGCUGGUUUGACCGUUUGACGUGGUCACUCCCCUCCCGCCUGCAACCAAGAACCAACCUACGCACUGCACAGGUGCACUACACGUGCAUGCGCCUGACUUGCUCCAAGCCUCCAACUGAUCCCUAAUUACUUCCAUCCAUGUGUCUGCCUGCUUGCUUGUGUGCAAGAGACACUGCCCCGAGUUUUCUCUUAUGGAGGCCCUGUGCUUGUAGUUAUCCAUGCAUGCGGGGUGCUUGGUCGGCUGGAGAGAUGAGAUGGCCUCGUCCACCUUACAUAAUGAUGCGAGAGCGUGAGUGAUCAGCAGAAUGAUUGGAUGACAUGUAUAUAGUUCCCCGUUUCUAUGCUAGCCUGGGAAGGACAUACAUAGCAUACAGGCUCAUUUUAUUCCUGAUGAAGCCAAGCCAAACGGGCAACUGAUGAUGAUGAUUAGUAGGAUGCCUUGCACCCACCGAUACGUAGGAUUCAUGCAGUAUCCAACAGUGAUGUGGCUGUCCCCAAGUAGAAUAUGCAUUCUUUGGGUUGGGAGGCGGAAUAGAUUAAGCUAGCAUCCGAUACGCAACGACCGAGCACAUGCGUCGUCCCGCUCCCGCCUCACGAACUGCACUCGAGUGGCGCUGGCUGUAGGCUGCCCGCUUUGGCUGGCUCGAACCGCACCGCACCACCCCACUCAUCCAAACCAACCAACGGCACAAAAACGAUCCUCAAAAAAAAAAGGGCACAAAAACGAACCGGCAGGCAGCCGCUACGGCCACCCUCACCCUGCUCCCCCGCUCACCACCACAAUCACGUGUCCUCUUGCUCUGCGACUGACGUGCGGCCCACCACGUCCCACGCCCCCACGCGGCAGUGCCACCAGCGCGUGCGACCACGUCGCUGGCCGACCGUCCGUUCCAGCUCGCCAAAAGCAACUUUUACCACUCACCGCGCGCGCCGCUGACGAGGUGGGCCGCGACGACGCGUCAACCGGCCCGUCACCGGGGCCCGCCCGUCCGACACACCAAGUACGUUUUACGAGUCACCCCGGCGCCGCUUCCGUGACUGUGGGCCCGGGUCUUCCAGACCGUUUCUUCCCACCCAAAUCAAUUACUAUUAAGUUAAUCAGGCUCGGUUUCAGUCAUUUAUUUUUAGGAGGGAGAAAUAAGAUGAUCGAUCAAUUACCCCCCUCCCCGCGGCCUUGGCCUUGGCCUCGGCCUCUUCGUCUCGCCGUCCGCGACGACCACUCGGAGAAGAAGACGACGAGGCGGGGGAGGCAGCCAGCUCCCAUAAAUACCCAUCUCCAGCUCCGUCCCCGACUCGACUCGAGUCGCUUCUUCCUCCCUUCCUUCGGAGCUGGAUCGGAAUCGACAGCGACCUCCCCCGCCUCCGCCACGCGUAUUUCCUCCUCCUCCUCCUCCGCCUUACCCACUAAGAAACAAAGAAAGGAAGAUUGCCAGCCAGCCCCCGCCUUCCCUCCUCCUUGCCGUGUUCCCUCCCGUCGCCGCUAUAAAGGCCCUCGCCGCGAGCCUUUCCGCGUGCCGUGCCNNNNNNNNNNNNNNNNNNNNNNNNNNNNNNNNNNNNNNNNNNNNNNNNNNNNNNNNNNNNNNNNNNNNNNNNNNNNNNNNNNNNNNNNNNNNNNNNNNNNNNNNNNNNNNNNNNNNNNNNNNNNNNNNNNNNNNNNNNNNNNNNNNNNNNNNNNNNNNNNNNNNNNNNNNNNNNNNNNNNNNNNNNNNNNNNNNNNNNNNNNNNNNNNNNNNNNNNNNNNNNNNNNNNNNNNNNNNNNNNNNNNNNNNNNNNNNNNNNNNNNNNNNNNNNNNNNNNNNNNNNNNNNNNNNNNNNNNNNNNNNNNNNNNNNNNNNNNNNNNNNNNNNNNNNNNNNNNNNNNNNNNNNNNNNNNNNNNNNNNNNNNNNNNNNNNNNNNNNNNNNNNNNNAUUAGCCUGCGCUCGAUUUGCCGGCCGUCGCGAUGUGGGGGGACUCGAAGCCGAUGCUCAAGUCCCGCGGCGGGGGCGGCGGCGGGGGCGGCGCCGACGAGGAGGGCGACUACUUCCCCAACACGCCGCGCAAGGACUGGUCCACGGGCCUGCUCAAGCUCGUCACCGCCAUGGUCAUCUUCAUGGCCGGCGUCGUCAUCGGCCUCUCCGUCAGCGCCAACGUCUCCCGCUACUACUACAACUCCCACACCGAGCUCUUCUUCCCCACCGCCACCUACAGCUCCUGCGACCGCCGGGGCGCCACGGGUGACUGCGGCCCGGGCUUCAAGGCCUUUGUGCACCCGCCCACCCUCGCGCACUCCAUGACCGACGACGAGCUCUUCUGGCGCGCCACCCUCGUGCCCACCGCCGAGGAGUUCCCCUUCCAGCGCGUCCCCAAGGUCGCCUUCCUCUUCAUGACCCGCGGCCCGCUCCCCUUCGCCCCGCUCUGGGAGCGCUUCUUCCGCGGUCACCAGGGCCUCUUCUCCGUCUACCUCCACACCAUACCGGACUACAAGCUCAACGUCUCCAAGACAUCCCCAUUCUACGGCCGCCAGAUCCCCAGCGAGGUACUAUAAUCAAUCUCAAGUCUCUUCUUUUCCUCCAUAAUUUACCUUAAUGAAACGAACCGUGUAAAAAUCAGAUUGGUAGUUAGUUGAACAAACUAUGUUGUGUUGCCUGCGGAAAAUUUGUGGCUGAUUGAUUCGUUAGCUGGUGCCUUGGUGGAGUGAGUCGGACAACCGUUGUCGUGCUAGUUGGUGGUUGCCAUGUGCUCAACUUGAUUCAUGAUUGGGAUAUGUGUAUGUAUUUGCUCUAGCCUCUAGGGGAAUAUGCUUGCCUGACCCCAUGCCAGGAUGGUGGGUAAACUACUCGAUGGAUUCUCCAACUAGUGGUGCUCACGAAUGUUGCUAAUAUUGUGAUCUAGAGAUGCUUAAUCUACAAUAUUCUGCUUGAAUUUAUCCACUAAAUAAUUAGUCAAGGAUGUCAUAUGGUUGGGAAUUUGUUUAUUUGUGUACUCUGCUUUUCUUCUUUUAUGUUCAUAUAUGUGGGGCUAAAGUGUCAACCUCAAAUAUCGAUGCGAUGUGUGCAUUCUUUCAGUAUUUAACAGUGUGAGUGCCCUCCAUGUGCGGUUCUCGGACCCUGAUCAACGGCUAGUUUUGAUAACAUAUUCUGAUCCUUGUUUAUUGCCAAUGCAGGAAGUGUCUUGGGGAUCGAUAACCCUGGUGGAUGCUGAGAAGCGCCUGCUGGCCAAUGCGUUGUUGGAUUUCUCGAACGAGCGUUUUGUUUUGCUCUCGGAGAGCUGCAUUCCGGUGUUCAACUUCCCAACCGUCUACGAGUAUCUCAUAAACUCGGAGCACAGCUUUGUUGAGUCCUACAACAUCGACACCCCUCAAAGCGCUGGCCGCUACAACCGUCGAAUGGCACCUCACAUCUUGCCGGAACAAUGGAGGAAAGGGUCAGAGUGGUUUGAGCUUAACCGUGAGCUGGCCGUGCGUGUGGUAGCGGACUACAAGUAUUACUCGAUCUUCCGGAAGCAUUGCAGACCAUCUUGCUACCCGGAUGAGCAUUACAUACCGACCUAUCUUCAUCUUUUCCACGGGUCGCUCAACGCCAACAGGACCAUCACAUGGGUUGAUUGGUCAAGAGGAGGCCCACAUCCAGCAAGAUAUGGUGCUGGAAACAUCAAUGUGGAUUUCAUCAAGGCCAUCAGGAACAACGGUACGCAGUGCCUCUACAACUCGAAGCACACCUCUGUGUGCUACCUCUUUGCAAGGAAGUUUGCUCCCAGUGCUUUGGGGCCAUUGAUGAACCUCACUUCGACGGUAUUGGACUUUUGAGCUCGGCUUCCAUUGGCAUUAUAUUAUCGAGCUAUCUCCAUCGACGAUCACUCGCUCGCGUGCCGGUACCGGUCAGGUAGAGGUACUCUGCUAGCUCAGGGACAUGUCUCUUAGAUAGAUGAGAGACUGCUGUCGAGGACGCUUGGCUGGUGGAUGACGCUGUGUGGGACGGUGAAAUUUACUUCACUUAUCCUGAAGCUGAUUCCCGAGUAAUGGACGAAUGGCGCUACAAGAUCAAGAGAGGACAUUUUCACCUCCCAUUCUUUUUAAUAUAUCAUAGCUCUGUGAUAGAUCUUUUUUCUUUUUUCUUCUGCCCCCCAUCACUUAUUGUAAUGACUUGGUCAGGAUGCUAAUUUUAUGUGAAUAUAACUUGCUCAAUCGUUGCUUGGCUUGGCUUGGCUUCAAGUCUGGCGUUGCCAGAUGGCGCCGCGCACUUGAUACAUGGCCACAGCCUCAAAACCUUGAAGCUACAGCCUGCCAUUGGUGGUUGUGACUUGUGAGGAUGCUCUGCUCUGGUCCAUGAGAUGAAAGCUAGUGUAGAUAGAGAAGUUUGUGGAUGUAGGCAGAAUAUGCCACCUUCUUGUGGCACUGUCUCCACAAGAAAGGAAGGAAAGCUGGUUCUUUUUGAAAGGCACACAUGAGUAGGCCAUCUAUGUUGCUACAAAUUCUUGGACCUGCUGUUACAGAUUGUACUUGUUUGGCUGUGAGAGUGCAUAAUAGUAUUGCGGGGACAUGCUUAAUUGGCCUGUGCGUUUGGUAGCUGCACAAAACUAGGAUUGGUUGGCGAACAUGGGAGACAUGAUUUUAGGCUGGCGUAGCCCGCACACGCUCUUGUCAUGCCCUUAGCCAGUGAUUACAAUAAUCCACUGGCACAGGUCUAUGAAUAUUUCAUCCUGAAAUAGAAGAAAGUCUAUGGAUUAAUUUUUCGUGUGAUGUGUGUCUGACCUGCACAACAAGUUACUAUAAUCUGUGAAUGGCCUACGUGGUGUUUGUUUAGAAUGUGUUCUGGCUAGAUAUAUUUGGUGAAAUUGUAGCGGUAUUUGUUAAAACAAAAUAAUGGAAACGGUUGGGAUUUUGGAUGAAAGUGACUGUUGCUGCUCCUUGUAUUGCUGCCCUGGCCCAUGAAAACGAUGCCUUCUCAUAGACCCUAAAAAAAAGAAAACUGUACUUUUGAGGGAAAAAAAGGGAGCAUCUUUGUUUAAUUUAUUCCCGAAUGAUGCUGCUGAAUCUAAGGGCCUGUUUGGAACGCAGGAUCAUCAUCACAUUUGAAAAAUCGUAAGGAAAUGGAACUGUUUUCGGCGUGCGCGAAAAUCAAGUAUGGGUGAGGUGAAUGCGAUAGGGGGCUUUAAAGCAUCCACAGUGUGCAUUUUUCACUGCCUCUAAGCACUCUCUCUCUUCUUAGAGGUCGCCUCCAUACACUGCACUUCAGGCCUCUAAGCAAAAAAUCUCUAGCAUCGCCUCUUAGCUUGGAGGCUGCCUCUAGUGAUUUAAAUAAUCAAGCAGCCCCACCCAUCAGCCUGUUUGUGCUCCCAACGAUGCAUGUGAUGAACCAAAGUUCUCCAUUCAGAUUACCAUGCCUUUGUUUAAUCAAUCAUGGGCCCACAAUAGAGGCUGAAGCAAAAUGUUAUACACUGCGUGGUUUUGAGAUUGUUUGGAGGCAGCGCUGUGGGGUCCAGCUUGGAGGCAAGCUAGCCUCUAAGCACUGUGGAUGCCCUUAUAGGCUUUGAGCCGUUGCAAACCAUCCUCAUCCACCAUCGUAGUGUUUGCAAGUGGUGGUGUUCAAGUUGAGGAAAGGUGAGGAGCAUGGGCGUGUACUCUUGGAAUGCGUACAUUCCUCCGUCCUUCGCUAUCGGUCUUCGGUCUACCACUUGUUGCUUUGCUCUCUGAAGUCUGAAGGACCUUGUGGCGCUCGUAUGUCUGAAUCGACGAUGAAUAUAGGACGCCUUUGGUUAGUUUCUUAGUGGAGCCUGGUUGAGUGUAUGCAGGCUCCUGGCGAGCCUGCAUCUGGAAAAACUCCAAUUUAAUUUGAGCGUUCCUGGCGAGCCAGGUCGAGGGAGCUUUAAAUUUCAUUUGGGUCAAAUUCUAUAUGUGAGCCAGGCAACCAAACAACUCGCUACUUAGCCCAACAGACCCUGAUUUGUCUUAAUGCAACGGAGCAACUAGUUGAUGAGCGCUUCUUCGGGAGCCUUACAAUGAUCAACGUUACUUGGCGUGCUCUCAGCCAUCCGUUACGUGUUGCAUUCUGGGCGCUCCUUCCGGAAUUUUUUUCCCGCACACGUUUUUGGCCUUUUAAACGGUUUUGUUUUCAGUUUUUUUUAACAUUUUGGUUUUCCACCGAUCUUCCUUAGCUUUUGGAACAAAAAAAUUAGAAAUUUUUUUCACGAAAAAUGCGGUUUUUUUCCGCAAGAGUCACAGCCUUGCCUCUCGGAAACGGAAAAAAAAUCGUGUUUUCUGUUUUUUUCCUUCCGUGAGAGGCACAGUUGUGCUUUCGCGAGUCACGACCGUGCCUCUCAGAAACAAAAAAAAACAUGUUUUUUGUUUUUUUCCUUCUGUGAGAGGCACGAUUUUGCUUCCGCGAGAUGCACGGUUGUGCUUUCGCGAGAGGCACGGUUGUGCCUCUCGGAAACAAAAAAAAUGUAUUUUUUGUUAUUUUUCCUUUCGUGAGAGACACAGUUUUGCUUUCACGAGAGACAUGGUUGUGAUUUCACGAGAGGCCUCCUUGGAAAAGAAAAAAAAUGCGUUUACUCUUUUUAUUUCCUUCCGCGAGAGGCACGGUUUUGCUUCCGCAAGAGGCACGGGUGUGCCUCUUUUGAAAAGGGAAAAAAAAUCCGUGCUUCCGGUUUGGUUUUUUCGUCUGGUUUUUCUCAUUUGGUUUUUUCGUGAAAAAAGAUCGUCAAAACCUAUCAACACGGGAUCUAGUUUUAAAAAUCUCGACGCAAGGGAUCCAACGGUGAAAACGGUUCGAAAUUUGGGCGCAUAAUUUAAGAGAUAAAACGAAUCUAAAAAAAGAAAAAACUUCCAGGUUGUGACAAGUGGCGUACAUGCAGCACGUCACUUGUUGUAAUGGGAGUAAUCUUUGCAAUGAAUACUCAUCAAUUAGUGAUUUGGCUAAUGCAGGCUACCAAGCACAAAAAGGAAAUCUUCGGCGGCCCAUGACAUGUCCAUUUCAAAGCCCAAGUGCAACUCAGCACGGCUAAAGCCCAGAGAGAUCCCAAGGCCCACCCAUCGCUCCUUGUGCGAAAGCCCAUUUCUCCGCUUUUAUUUCUGGAGGAGGAUUCGGUUUGUCUGAAUAAACUAAUCCGGCAGGCAAGGCCUUGCCCUGGCUAUGGGCAUUUAUAUUCAGAAUGUGCAUGUUGUUUCGGACUGUCUUAAUGGGAGCAAUUAGUUAACGAGCGCUUCUUCAAAAGCUUCGCAACGAUUAGCGUUACUUGGCGCGCUCUCAGCCAUUUGUCACGUGUCGUGUUCUGGAUGCUCCCUUCAGAUUUUUUUUUAUUUUUUCGCACGCGUUUUCGGCUUUUUAAACGGGUUUUUUCAGGCUUUUCCGACGUUUUGGUCUUCCCUCGGUCUUCUUUAGUUUUUCUAUCGAAUUUUUUUUGCGCGAACAAAGCACAUUUCCUUUUUUUACGAAAAUCAUGGUUUUUUCCGCAAGAGUUACGGUCGUGCCUUUCGGAAACGAAAAAGAAUGCGUUUUCUGUUUUUUUUCUUUCGCGAGAGUCAUGGUUUUGCUUCCGCGAGAGACACGGUUGUGCUUUCGCGAGAGUCACGGCCGUGCCUCUCGGAAAGGAAAAAACAAAAUGCGUUUUCUGUUUUUUUUUCUUUCGCGAGAGUCACGAUUUUGCUUCCGCGAGAGGCACGGUUGUGCUUUCGCGAGAGUCACGGCCGUGCCUCUCGGAAAGGAAAAAAAACGUGUUUUCUGUUUUUUUUCCGCAAGAGUCAUGAUUUUGCUUCCGCGAGAGGCAUGGUUGUGCUUUCGCGAGAGUCAUGGUCGUGCCUCUCGAAAACGAAAAAAACACGUUUUUUAUUUUUUUUCCUUCCACGAGAGUCACGGUUUUGCAUCCACGAGAGGCACGGGCGUGCCUCUUUCGGAAUGGGAAAAAAACCGUGCUCCCGGUUUCGGUUUUCUCGCCCGGUUUUUUUCGUGCGGUUUUUUCGUGAAAAAAAAGUUCGUCAAAACCUAUCAACAUGGGAUCUAGUUUUGAAGAUCUCGACGCGAGGAAUCCAAUAGUGAAAACGGUUCGAGAUUUGAACGCAUGGUUUAAAAGAUAAAACAUUUUGGAAUAAACGGAUCUAAAAAAAUGAAAAACUCCCAGGUUGCGACAAGUGGCGCGCUGCAUGUGCGCCACUUGUCACGACCUGGGAAAGUGGACUGUUCUUUGCAACGAGUACUCCUUAAUUAAUGAUUUCAGUCUUAAUGUCGUCAACAACUUUGUAGUAUGAGCAUCUCCGACAGACACACAAAAACUGUUCGGCACAUUAAAAUUCGACUUUUUUCGCGUCGGACAACUCCAGCAAAAGCUGUAAAAUAAUGCAUGCGUAAAAAAGAAUUGGGCACGCGCUAAAAACGCUAUCAAAAGCUGUAAAUUUGAGACACAAAAUUACGUGCACUUCAUAAUUUGUACUGCGUGUUUUUUUGGACGCGUGUUUUUUGGCAUUUACUGAACCAGCAUUAAAUCUGAUACAUUAAAAGUGCUACAGUGGCACGCUAAACUAUUUUAAUUCAUGCACCUAUUGGAGAUGGUUUAAGGAUAGGAGGGAAAUAUGAACGUUUAUCAAGAAAAUAACAACUCUUAGGCUGGUCACAAUGGGCAAGAACAUAAACUAAUAUCUUACACACUUCCCUAGACUAUGUUAUUACCUCUAUAGUGGGUAGGAACAUCUAGGUAGUGUCAUGCAACAUGCAACAGUGUAUUUAUUAGGUUAUAGACUCAUUGUUUCUUGGAGUGUGUGAUGUUCCGGUAACUUAGCUAGUUACCACAAGCACCUCUCUCUUCAUUAAAUAUGUGCCACAUAAACAAAGUUGUAUUGGAGUGUGUGAUGUUACUCCUAAGUUCCUCCCACUGUGACCAGGCUUAGGUCUUCUUUUACUCUUUGUAGCUUUGUCCAUGAGAAAAGAGGCUCUAACUAUAAAGCCCACAAUCUAGCUAGGUUUGCAUUUGAUCAAGGCAGACAUACAUGGCUUGCACAAUUUUGCACCUCGAUCUGUCGCUUAUAUCUUUAUCGAUUACCCCUCCAACUUCAAGGGAUAUCGGUGCUACAAUCCCGUCUCCCAUCGUGUGUUCAUUUCCCGACGCGUUUACUUUGAUGAGCAUGUGUUUUCGUUUCACCAGGUACCCCGGCUGUUCCUCCCGCCACUGGUGACGCCGGAUCCUCGACGACUCUCCCAGGACGCUCGCACGCCUCUCUUGGCUCGCUCCUUGGCUUUGAGGCGCGCCCACUGCAUGCGACGCCUCCUACAGCCGCAGCACUAGCGCCCUCGGCGCCCCAGACGUUGGCGCCCGCGGCCCCGGCGGCUCCUCCGGCGCCCGUGACCUUGGUGCCCGCGGCCUCCUCGGCGCCCCCGAUGUUGGCGCCGGCGGCCCCCUCGGCGCCCCAGGCACCACCGGCGCCCCCGCCCCCUCGGGGCCCGCGGCCCCCCUAGCGCCCGUGGCAGGUCCGGUCACUCGCGCCCGUACGGGCGUUUUUGUCCGAGCUCGCGCUACGCCUCGGAUGACUACGUCCAUGCGGCGUCCACCUCUGAGUUGUCGCCGUUUCCGUCCUCCGUUCGAGCCGCUCUUCGUGACCCGCUCUGGAUGGCUGUGAUGCAAGAGGAGUUUAACGCCCUGUUGCGCAACCGGACAUGGCAGCUUGUUCUCCGUCCCCGGCACGCCAACGUGAUUACCGGAAGUGGGUCUUUAAACACAAGCUCCGUCCUGAUGGUACCCUUGAUCGCUACAAAGCGCGCUGGGUCAUUCGUGGCUUCCGACAGCAUGCUGGCAUCGACUUCACCGACACCUUUGCUCCGGUCGUCAAGCCCGGCACGAUACACACGGUUCUCCACCUUGCGGUCUCCCGUACUUGGCCGGUGCACCAGAUGGAUGUAUCCAAUGCCUUCCUCCAUGUUCACCUCAAGGAGCAGGUCUUUUGCCAGCAGCCCACCGGAUUUGUUGACCCGACACUUCCCGACCACGUGUGCCUGCUUUCGCGGUUCCUGUACGGACUCAAGCAGGUUCCACGCACUUGGUACCGGCGCAUUGCGGCGUUUCUCCACCAGCUUGGGUUCCUCUCUACCCGCUCGGACGCCUCAGUACUGACUAGUAUGCUGGAAGGGCAAGCUUAUGUCAUAUGGAGGCCGGCUAGUUCUGAUUAACUCAGUACUGACUAGUAUGUCGAUGUUUCUACUUCCGUUCUUCAAAAUUCCGAAAGGGGUCCGAAAGCGACUUGAUUUCUUUAUAUCUCGUUUCUUUUGGCAGUCUGAUGAGGCCAAGAGGAAAUACCGUCUCGCGCGAUGGGAUAUCCUUUGCCGACCUAAAGACCAAGGGGGUCUCAGUAUUAAGAACUUACAAAUUAAGAAUAAAUGUCUUAUGAGCAAAUGAUUAUACAGAUUAGAGACAGAACCGGAGGGCGUGUGGUCUCAAAUUCUGCACAAUAAGUAUUUGCACUCGAAAACACUAGCCCAGGUUACCAUGAGACCGACUGACUCGCCGUUUUGGAGGGGACUUAUGCGGAUGAAGGACCUGUUCUUUCGUAGGGUCAAAUUCUUGGUUGGCAAUGGGAUAUCAACAAGAUUUGGGGAGGAUAUGUGGUUAGGAGAGACGCCCCUGGCCGUCCAAUAUCCUACCCUUUAUAAUAUUGUGCAAUGUAAGGAGGAUUACGUAGGCACCGUUCUUCAAACUAUUCCCUUGAACAUCCAGUUUAGACGUGUGUUAGUUGGUGCGAGAUGGACCGCCUAGAUGCACUUGGUUCGGAGAUUGAUAGAAGUUCAACUCUCCGACCAGCCGGAUUCAACACAAUGGAAGUUAACUAAGAAUGGGAUGUUUACGGUGAAAUCUUUCUAUAUGGAUCUGAUUAAUUCUGGCCCCCUCUCAAGGCCGCUGCACAUUUGGAAGGUUACGAUUUCUUUGCGUAUUAAAAUCUUCAUGUGAUUUGUCCACAAGCAAGUGAUACUCAUAAAUGACAACUUAAUCAAGAGGCGAUGAGUAGGUAGUUCGCGAUGUUAUUUUUGUGAUCAUGAUGAAACAAUACAAUAUUUAUUUCUUGAAUGCCCACUUGCCAAGUUACUUUGAAGAGCGAUUCAUAUAGCUUUUAAUAUUAAUCCUCCAGUAGAUAUUGCGUCUUUGUUUGGGACGUGGUUAGCUGGGGUUGAACAGAUUACUGCGGCUCGUAUUCAGAUUGGAAUAUGUGCGCUAUUAUGUGCUAUAUGAAACUGCAGGAAUGAUAUGACUUUUAUCAGACAACACACUUUAACUUUUUUGCAGGUUAUCUUCAGAGCUACAACUUGGAUCCGUACAUGGUCCUUACUCACUCCUGUGGACUCCAGGGAGUCUUUGGUUACUGGGUGCAACCAAUGGGAGAUGGUAACUCGAGUUAUCUUCAACCGGUUCGGAUGACGCUCGCAUAACAGGAUAGGAGUCUAAGGAGCUUAUCCUUCUUAUUACCGUAUCGGUUGUCAUUGUCCGCAUGUAAUUUCUCUUAUUUUACUUUGUUUUGCUCCGUUUGCGAGCUGUAAGACUUUUAUGACGAUAUUUUCUGGAUUGUUAAUAAAAGGGCUCAUGCAUUAUCAUGAUGUAGAGGCCGGGGGCAUACGCCUUCAUUUCCAAAAAAAGACAUACAUGGCUUGGUCAGCCGUACGACCCUAUUUGAAUCCAGUUGAUCAUUAAAUUAAUCAAAUAUAAAGCAUAUAGUGUUGUGCUAAAGAGAAAAGAAUAAACAGAGCUCCUGUCACUUCCCUCCGCCUCGUUGCGCACUAGAGCUUCUUGUCUUGGUUCUGCCCCGUUUCUUCAUAUUUCUUGAUGUUGUUGGUGUUGCUACACCAAACCAACUUUUAACUUUGGCCGUGCAAAUCACGCGCCGCCGCAUAGUAAAGUUGCACCGGUGAACACGGCCGGCUUCCAGCCCAAAGUGGCACUGUGACUGCCACCCACCCAUACUUAUGUCAUGCAACUGGUAUGCUUGCUUGCUUUUAUGUCAGAUGCCACUUGGGAGCUUGAUACCCAUGUGCCUUUCUUGAUCUAUAUAGCAAUGAACAAUUAAACAACUAAAGGCUAGGCUAGCGUAAACCAAACACAAGAUGGCAUCCGUGCAUCUAUAGUGAAACUAAUGGAUGGAAGAAAAGCUCCACCCCCCACUUCUCAAAUUAAGCUUAUCUCUUUCUUCUUUCGCAUCAGAUACGAGAAAAUUCGACUGGUGUUUGUCUUUAGGGUUAGAAAAAUAUGAAAAAUCUUGCGCCGAUCUCAACCUUCCAACCGAUAGUCAUCGGUGUCGUGCUAGAACUAACCAUCUUUUAGACAACUGAGAAUUAGCAAAAGCUGUAUUUUAAUAUUAUUUUACAAAAGUUACAGUCUACUAAUACAAGAUCAUGAAUGAAAAGGGGCCACAAAAAGGGGGACAACGCCUCAACCAACAAGCGAGGCUGCGAGCCGAGCAUAAUUAGCGAGAUAAUGUGAAACCCUAUUUUGUGAUCUAACUAUCUUAAUUGGAACAAACUUCCACUCUACCAUUUUUUGCAGGGCAAAUUCCCACUUCACCAUGAGAAGCUUGAUUUCAUUAAUGAGAUGACCAUUGUUAGACUGUAUUUACAUGUGUAUAUUGUAACGUUGUAUACCACCUCAUUAUAUAUACAUGUGUGAUAGGCCACCCCUAGAGGGUUGUGCCGGUUCCCCCCAAAGCCUAUUGUCUUACAUGGUAUCACGCUAGGUUACGUCCGCUUCCGCCUAAAAACCCUAAACCGCCGCCGCCGCCGCCGUCGCCGUCGCCCGACUGCUAUGACGUCCGCCGCUGCGUCCGGCUCCACUGCCACCGGUUUUCUGCCGGCCUCCCUCGCGGCACUUCUCUCGAGGCCGCUGGAUGCCGCCUCCCUUCAGGCGCCGAUCGGGACACGGAGCGUCGGCUCCCUCUUCGCGCUCCCGCCGGCUGCUACUUCGCCCGGGCAGGCGCUUGUGGCCCACACCGCCGCCGCCCCGUCAACCGCAGCUGUCGCGCCCUCGGCCACUGCGCCGCUGGUGGUGGAGGACGUCGCGCUGGCAGGCUUCGCGGCGUCAACCGCAGCCAUCGCGCCCUCUGUCACCGCGCCGGCUGCCCCUCUGACUGUCUCCACGGUGGUCUCACCUCAGCCAGUCUCCUCGAUGGGAUCGCAGCCGCCGCCGCCGUUUCACUUCGGCCAUCUCAUCACCAUCAAGUUGUCGUCGGACAAUUACAUCUUCUGGCGCGCGCAGGUUCUUCCGCUUCUUGGGAGUCACUAUCUGCUUGGCUAUGUCGACGGCUCUCUCCCUUGCCCUCCUGCGCUGGUUGACAGCGUGCACGGUCCGGUCUAUAAUCCGGCUCACCGUGUCUGGACAGGGCAGGAUCAGGCGAACCUCUCCUCCAUCCAGGGGUCGCUCUCUCCGGCCGUUGCUGGGCUUGUUGUCUUCGCCAAGACGUCCCACGAGGCAUGGACUAUUCUUGAGCGCUCGUUUGCGGCACAGUCGCAGGCUCGUGUAUCUGGGCUCCGUCGCCAACUUGGAGAGUGUCAGAAGCUUGACUCCACCGCCACUGAGUUCUACAACAAAGUCAAGAGUCUCGCCGACACGCUGGCCUCCAUUGGACAGCCCCUCACCGACUCCGAGUUCAACUCGUUUAUUGUCAAUGGUCUUGAUGAGGAGUAUGACGCCCUAGUCGAGAUCAUCAAUGAGAGGGGCAACUCCACGCCCAUGCCAGCACACGAGGUCUUUUCACGCCUCCUGCUUACUGAGCAACGAGUCGAGACGCGCCGAUCCAGGGGCAACGGCGCCCUCUCGGCAAACGCCGCCACCAAGGGUGGUCGCUCCUCUGCUUCAUCCAGGGCUCCUUCGGGGCAGUCACCACCACCCGCCUCGGCCCCUUCUCCUACUGCGACGCUACCAGGGGCUGGCGGUCCACGUGUGUGCCAGCUUUGUGGUCGUGAUGGGCACUGGGCCUCGAAGUGUCACAAGCGCUUCCAGCGGGGUUUUCUUGGUCUCGGCAAUGACGGGAAGGAUACACGCAACUUUGCUCGUCAGGUCGCCAUGGCUGAUCGUCCGCCGCCGCAGAAGCCACAGGGACACACUCAGUCCUACUCCAUUGAUCCCCACUGGUACAUGGACUCUGGGGCGACAGAGCACCUGACCAGUGAGAUGGGGAAGCUUCACACUCGUGAACCCUACCAUGGCUCCGACAAGAUCCACACCGCCAAUGGAGCAGGUAUGCACAUCUCUCAUAUUGGUCAAGCAUCACUUCUCACUAGACAUGCCAAUAGGAGUCUUCAACUUCGCAAUGUUCUUCGAGUUCCAUCUGUGACACGUAAUCUUCUUUCAGUUCCUAAACUCACUCGUGAUAAUAAUGUGCUUUGUGAAUUUCAUCCUUUUGAUCUUUUUAUUAAGGAUCGGGGCACGAGGGACAUUCUUCUUAGUGGGCGGCUCUGCCAAGGUAUCUAUCGUCUGGAGCAUCCUAGCGUCGCUCGCGUCUUCAGUGGAGUUCGGGUAUCUCCGUCACAGUGGCAUGCUCGUCUUGGUCACCCGGCCACACCUAUUGUCCGGCAUGUUUUGCGUCGUCAUGAGCUUCCUAGUGUGUCUAGUAAUAAAGAUGUAGCAGUGUGUGAUGCUUGUCAGCAGGGGAAGAGUCAUCAACUUCCUUUUUCGGAGUCCAGUCGUGAGGUGAAACAUCCUUUAGAACUUGUGUUUUCAGAUGUAUGGGGUCCUGCUCAGACUUCUGUUAGUGGUCAUAAUUACUAUAUCAGUUUUGUUGAUGCUUACAGCCGCUUUACCUGGCUUUAUCUUAUCAAACGUAAAUUUGAUGUGUUUGACAUUUUUGUUCAGUUCCAAAACCAUGUUGAAUGCCUUCUCAAGCACAAAAUUGUUCAUGUUCAGUCGGACUGGGGUGGCGAGUAUCGCAACCUCAACUCCUUUCAGUCGCUUGGGAUCACUCACCGUUUAGCAUGUCCACAUACACAUCAGCAGAAUGGUUCAGUAGAACGUAAGCAUCGUCACAUUGUUGAAGCUGGUCUGACUCUUUUGGCCCAUGCAUCUGUUCUGUUUCGUUUUUGGAGUGAUGCUUUCACCACUGCAUGUUUUCUCAUCAAUCAUACUCCCACUCGUGUUUUGAAUAUGAAGACUCCCAUUGAAGUUCUCCUUAAUGAACAACCGGACUACACCUUUCUCAAGGUGUUUGGUUGUGCUUGCUGGCCCCAUCUCCGUCCAUAUAACAAGCGUAAGCUCGAGUUUCGUUCCAAGAAGUGUGUUUUUCUUGGUUAUAGCUCUCUUCAUAAAGGAUACAAAUGUCUUCAUGUGCCCACUAAUCGUGUCUACAUCUCUCGGGAUGUUGUGUUUGAUGAGCAUGUUUUUCCCUUUGCCAAACUCCCUGUGUCCACUACCGAGCCACCUGUCAUGCAUUCAUCCUCUGUUGCUUCUGACCAAUUUGAUGAUGUUGCAUAUUCUCCUCUAUUGUUGCCUAACCAUGGUGCAGGCACUGGUCGUGGGGCUCGUUUGGAGAUUCUGGAAGUGCCAUCUUCCUCUUCGUCGCCAUCGCCUUCAUCCUCGGCACCUUCUGUUGUGCAUGAGGAGCACAUGGCGCCCAUGCAUGGCCUCGGUUUCCGUGCUCAUGCACGGCCGAUCAACGUCCUGGCCCGGUCGCCUCUGGCUUCUGGGCUGCCUUCGCCAUCGUCGCGCCCUGCAACCCCGCCGACUGGGCCGGCCUCCUCGGUCCCCGUCUCGCCCAGGGUGUCGGGGCAGUCAUCACCAGGCCUGGCCUCGCCCGCCCCUGCCUCGCCCAGGGUGUCUGGGCCCUUCUCACCAGGGCCGGCCUCGCCUGCUCUCGCCUCGCCAAGGCCGUCUGGGCCGGUGUCACCGGAGCUGGCCUCGCCCACUCUCGGUUCGCCCAUGGCCUCUGAGCCCCUGUCGUCGGGCCAGUCUUCGCCAUGCAGCCCGGAGUCGUCUGUCCCGAGCUCGCCUGAGGUGAUUCCUGCAUCUCCGGCGACCGUCACGUCUCCGUCACCUUCGCCUCCGCCGGCUCCUGCUGCUGCUCUACGUCCACAUACGCGCAGUCGGAGUGGCAUUUUUCAGCCUAAGCAACGUCAUGAUGGCACAGUUGCUUGGUUAGCGGCGUGCAUGUCUGCUGCUCUCGCAGAUCCAUCCUCUGAGCCACGCACGUAUCAAGCUGCUAUGCGCAUUCCUCAUUGGAGAGAGGCCAUGGAGCAGGAGUAUCAAGCGCUUCUUCGCAAUCAGACAUGGACUCUUGUUCCUCCACAAUCACGGGUAAAUGUCAUUGAUUCCAAAUGGGUUUUCAAAGUGAAGAGGCGUUCUGAUGGGUCCAUUGAGUGCUAUAAGGCUCGUCUGGUUGCUCGUGGUUUUCGACAGCGUUUUGGACUUGACUAUGAAGACACCUUCAGUCCAGUGGUCAAGCCUACUACCAUCAGACUUCUUCUCUCUCUGGCUGUUACUCGAGGUUGGUUUCUUCGUCAGCUUGAUGUUCAAAAUGCUUUUCUUCAUGGUGUCUUGGUGGAGGAGGUUUACAUGCGCCAGCCUCCGGGUUUCUCUGAUCCGGAUCGCCCUGAUCAUCUCUGUCGUCUGUCCAAGGCAAUUUAUGGUCUGAAGCAGGCUCCUCGUGCUUGGCAUGCUCGUCUUGCAAUGGCUCUUCGUGCUCAUGGUUUUGCAUCAUCAACUGCUGACUCCUUAUUGUUUCUUCUUCAAAGGCCUGAGGUUACUAUGUACUUGUUGGUCUAUGUAGAUGAUAUCAUUUUGGUCAGCUCCUCUCAGUCGGCUGCUACUGCGCUUGUUUGCUCACUUGGUGCUGAUUUUGCGGUCAAGGACCUUGGGAAGCUUCAUUACUUUCUUGGUGUGGAGGUUACUUCUCGUGCUGCUGGCCUUGUUAUGACGCAGAAGAAGUACUCUCUGGAUUUGUUGCAGCGAGCUGGGAUGCUUAAGUGCAAACCGACGACUACACCCAUGUCUACCACUGAUAAGCUCAAUGCUGUUGAUGGUGUGCUUCUUUCUUCUUCUGAUGCGACAUAGUACAGGAGUAUUGUUGGUGGGCUCCAGUACUUGACGAUCACGCGACCAGACAUUUCCUAUGCUGUUAACCGAGUCUGCCAGUAUCUGCAGUCACCCCGUGACACUCAUUGGUCUGCUGUUAAGCGGAUUUUGCGCUACAUUCGUUUCACGGUGGCUCAUGGUUUGCAUAUUCGGCCGUCUGACUCUGGUUGUCUUUCAGCAUAUUCUGAUGCAGACUGGGCUGGCAAUCCGGAUGACAGGCGAUCCACGGGGGGUUAUGCUGUCUUCUUUGGCUCUAACCUGAUUGCCUGGAGUGCUCGGAAACAGGCUACUGUCUCGCGUAGCAGUACUGAGGAUGAGUAUAAGGCUGUGGCCAAUGCCACAUCAGAGAUCAUCUGGGUACAGUCCUUGCUUCAGGAGUUAAGUAUACCCCAAUCACAGCCUCCUGUUCUUUGGUGUGAUAACAUCGGUGCUACAUACCUUUCUGCAAAUCCGGUAUUCCAUGCCCGAACGAAACACAUUGAAGUUGACUAUCACUUUGUGCGUGAACCUGUCUCUCAGAAGCAACUACAGAUCAAGUUUAUUUCUUCCAAGGAUCAACUUGCUGACAUCUUCACCAAGCCAUUGCCUUUGCCACAGUUUGAGACUUGCAGGCGCAAUCUUACCCUUCUAGAUUCAUUAGAAAGUGGCUAAGAUUGAGGGAGGGUGUUAGACUGUAUUUACAUGUGUAUAUUGUAACAUUGUAUACCACCUCAUUAUAUAUAUAUAUAUGUGAUAGGCCACCCCUAGAGGGUUGUGCCGGUUCCCCCAAAACCUAUUGUCUUACAACCAUGUGGUGAUUUAGGGGGUGUUUGUUUUCAGGACUUUUUUGUGUAGGGACUAGAAAAAGUCUCUCUUAAAGACUUUUUUUACCAAAUGGCAGAAACUUUUUAGGGACUAAAUUAGGCAUUUGAGACUAAAUGAAGAAGACUCUCAAGGAGAGUCUUUUUGGGACUUUUUGAGACUUUUUCAACAAUGCCCUUACAUGCAUCCAUUGGCGCGCCACCCCAUGGUGUUGUUUGAUUGUUAUUUUUUUAUAUACUAGGGGCAACAUGGUCAUUUAAUAACCUCUAGGAAGGGACUAGGGACUUUUUAGUCUCUGGAAAUAAAUAGAGAGGGACUUUUUAGGGACUAGAGACUUUUUAGUUGGGACUAGAAAAAGUCCUAGGACUAGAGAACCAAACACCACCUUAGAAAGUGUAGCAUCCGAUAGAGAUGAUAAUGCUCCUACUGAGUCUGACUGCACCAAAAUAGAUAGAUUAGACCGUUGGAGGGCCAGCGCUAUGUUUUGAUUUUAGGUUUGAGAUUUUUUCCGUCUAGGCCGAGAUGGCCCAAUUUCGGCCAUUUUCAAAAAUUUCGGCUGAAAUUUGACCAAAAUUUGGCAAUGACCAAUUUCGGCUUAAAGAUACUUUCCGCCCCAGGCCAAGAUGGCCGAAAUCCUUUUUUUCCGGCCGGAAAUCAAAAUACAGGGUCAGCGACAUCCCCUCCAAAAUUGUAUGGAUUUCCACUUUCAAUGCCUCGUUGCAAAAGAACAAAAGAUGGCAUGCAACAAAGAUCAGUUCGGCUGUGUUUGAUAGCAAAGUAUUAUAUAAACUAAAGUAUCAAAAACUACAGUAAUUUUGCCUGCAGGUGUGAGAUACCAUAGUUUUAUCAAAACAGAGUAUUUUGCAGUAUUCAUAAUACAUAGAACCUGUUUGGCUGUUGUCGCAUAACACUGUAAAUUUUGCUGUUUAGUCGUUGUGUUUAAGCACUCAACAACUCUGUUUUUAAAAAAGAAGUUUAGGGUUUUUCUUUUAUGCAGAGAAAAAACUGCAGUUUGUCCAAUACUAUAAUAUUAAAAGCACAGUUAUUCCGUUUAGAAAAAAAAGGCACAGUUACUAGGGGCAACCAAACACCUCAUUGUAAAUAAAACUAUGAUAAUCUCAAAAACUAUAGUAUUCUUGAAAUACUUAAAAAAUAUUUUGCUAUCAAACAGGGCUCCUGCAUUGUUCUUGAGAAUCAUUCUAGCCUCGACCAAGCCAUCAUCCGGCGAGAAAGAGCCGUCCACCGAGAGGGCAAGCCAGUCCGGUGAGGGCGGCAACCAGGGCGCUUCAGGGGAGUGCGACACCUCGAUGCCUGAAAUGCAAAGCGUAUCCACAGGGGACUUGCCGUUCAAAGAUUUGUUCAAUGCUCAAGUGCUUCAAGUCUCGCAGUGAGCUCAUAUAGCUGCACACACACACACAAAAAAAAUCUUCGACACUUCCGUUGGAGGAAUACUCCCCCCGUGGACUACAUCGCUCCGAAGGUUUUAAAUUCUCCAAAUGAUCAUGAUAAUCAUGCCACCCACCUCGCCAGGGUGAAGCGCCAAGGGGUGCAGCAACCAUUCUUCACCAGAAUUCGGAAUUUGCUCAUUCGGGGCUAUAGGCCAGAUUCCCCCAAUUGCAACCUGUAGAAUUGUAGCAUUAUCACAUAUGUAAAAACAAAUUUUGAGCUGUGAAAGGAAUCUAGGGAGCAGGACGUCUCGUCAGGUCAGGUCAUGAACAAUGAGAGACGUCAAAUCAAGUCCCAUACGUUUGAACGCGGUCUUCAACAAUGAGAUGCUCUCGUGCGCGGUCUUCUCGUUGAAUUUGCACAUAGCCAUCAACUUCGUUUGAACGCCUCAACGUCCUUCCUUCAUGGUAUAUCUCUCUCCGCUGGUGCUAGUCGAGCCCACAUGAACACGCGUGAAAAACAGAGACAAAAUUUGUACGUUUUUUUGGCGGGUCAAAAGGGAAUUUUAUUAACUCACAGAAAUAUUGUCAGUGUUACAAAGACUGGGCACCUCAUUAGGCCCCGAACGCAACCAUACUUGCAGUGCGCAUUUUUCUUCAACCAUAACUAGCCAUGUAGUGGCUCACAACAUUUUGUUUCAGUUUACAUGGGACGUGUUUGGUUGCUGUUUGCUACAGUUCCUACAUCGCAUACACUUCUCAACCCAACCUGAUUGAGCAAAAACAAACCCUAAUACUCCAUCUGCAAGUUAUUUGGUUGUCUGCAUCUAGUGUCCCUGCAUUAGGUAAUAGACAAGUGCACUUUGUUUGGUUGCCUGCAUUGGCCCAAGCGGCACAUGAACAUGACGUUUGAUUGCAUACGGCGUACAUGUUGUGCUUACUUUGUACCCUAGUUGGUGAGCUUACCCACACCUAGCACACCAACGCCACAGCACCACAAUGGCGAUGAACUGGACGAAGAAGAUAAAGUUCUCCAGCUUCAGCCCAAACUGACGAUCCACCUUGACACCUCCAACCUUGCCACUGUCAACACUCUUGUCUCCGUGCUUUCGCACCCAGUUGGAGUAAGCUUGUUCUGCUGUCUGCCUAGUCUUGAACCCUCUAUGGCUGCUGUUGCUAUACGAUGCCACUUGUGCACUGGCUUCUUCCUAUGAACUAUAAACCCCUGAAACCUUACCGAUGAACACGACAUACCACUUGCCCUAGCAAUGCACAAGAGUAAGAGUUGAAGCAGCAAAUCAAUGAAGCACACAAGUAGCAAGCAAAGUAGCCCACAAACAACAAUGGAGCAGAAGAGAAGAAGUAAAGCAUACAUGAUCAUACGACAUAACAAGUUCUACCUAGCACUACCUUGGUGUUAACCUACCACCACAUCCAAAAGAGGGUGUGCUACGUCUUGAGCUUGUGUUGGUUUUCCCCGAAGAGGAAGGGAUGAUGCAGCAGAGUAGCGUAAGUAUUUCUCUCAGUUUUUGAGAACCAAGGUAUCAAUCCAGUAGGAGCCCACGCUCAAGUCCCUCGUACCUGCACAAAGCGAUAGCUACUCCCAACCAACGCGAUUAGGGGUUGUCAAGCCCUUCACGGUCACUUACGAGAGUGAGAUCUGAUAGAUAUAAUAUUUUUGGUAUAAAGAUGCAAAGUAAAAAGUAAAAGCAAAGUAAAAAUCAAAACAAGAUUAAAGUGAUGGAGAUUGAUAUGAUGAGAAUAGACCCGGGGGCCAUAGAUUUCACUAGUGACUUCUCUCAAGAGCAUAAGUAUUCUACGGUGGGCGAACAAAUUACUGUUGAGCAAUUGACAAAAUUGAGCAUAGUUAUGAGAAUAUCUAGGCAUGAUCAUGUAUAUAGGCAUCACGUUCGUGACAAGUAGAUCGAAACGAUUCUGCAUCUACUACUAUUACUCCACUCAUCAACCGCUAUCCAGCAUGCAUCUAGAGUAUUAAGUUAAAAACAGAGUAACACCUUAAGCAAGAUAACAUGAUGUAGAGAGAUAAAUUCAUGCAAUAUGAAAUAAACCCCAUCUUAUUAUCCUCGAUGGCAACAAUACAAUACGUGCCUUGUUGCCCCUUCUGUCACUGGGUAAGGACACCGCAAGAUCGAACCCAAAGCUAAGCACUUCUCCCAUGGCAAGAACUACCAAUCUAGUUGGCCAAACCAAAUGGAUAAUUCGAAGGGACUUGCAAAGAUAACCAAUCAUACAUAAAAGAAUUCAGAGAAGAUUCAAAUAUUAUUCAUAGAUAGACUUGAUCAUAAACCCACAAUUCAUCGGUCUCAACAAACACACCGCAAAAAGAAGAUUACAUCGAAUAGAUCUCCACAAGAGAAGGGGAGAACUUUGUAUUGAGAUUCAAAGAGAGAGAAGAAGCCAUCUAGCUACUAACUAUGGACCCGAAGGUCUGAGGUAAACUACUCACACUUCAUCGGAGGGGCUAGGAUGAUGUAGAAGCCCUCCGUGAUGACGGCCCUCUUCCGGCGGAGCUUCGGAACAGGCCCCAAGAUGGGAUCUCGUGGAUACAGAAAGUUGCGGCUGUGGAAUUAGGUUUUUGGCUCCUGUUCUGAUCAUUUGGGGGUACAUGUGUAUAUAUAGGAGGAAGAAGUACGCCGGAGGAGCAACGAGGGGCCCCCGAGGCAGGGGGACGCGCCCUAGGGGGGGCGCCCCCCACCCUCAUGACCGCCUCUUUUGUUCCUUGGAGCAGGGUCCAAGUCUCCUAGAUCACGUUCAGUGAGAAAAUCAUGUUCCUGAAGAUUUUAUUCCAUUUGGACUCCGUUUGAUAUUCCGUUUCUUCGAAACACUGAAAUAGGCAAAAAAAACAGCAAUUCUGGGCUGGGCCUCCGGUUAAUAGGUUAGUCCCAAAAAUAAUAUAAAAGUGGAAAAUAAAGCCCAAUAUAGUCCAAAACAGUAGAUAAUAUAGCAUGGAGCAAUCAAAAAUUAUAGAUACGUUGGAGACGUAUCAGGCAUCCCCAAGCUUAAUUCUUGCUCGUCCUCGAGUAGGUAAAUGAUAAAAAGAGAAUUUUUGAUGCGGAGUGCUACUUGGCAUAAUUUCAAUGUAAAUCUUCUUAAUCGUGGUAUGGAUAUUCAGAUUAGAAAGAUUCAAGACAAAAGUUUAUAUUGACAUAAAAAAUACUUCAAGCAUACUAACAAAGCAAUUAUGUCUUCUCAAAAUAACAUGGCCAAAGAAAGUUAUCCUUACAAAAUCAUAUAGUCUGGUUAUGCUCCAUCUUCACCACACAAAGUAUUUAAAUCAUGCACAACCCCGAUGACAAGCCAAGCAAUUGUUUCAUACUCUAACUUUUUCAAAACUUUUUCAAUGUUCACGCAAUACAUGAGCGUGAGCCAUGGAUAUAGCACUAUAGGUGGAAUAGAAUGGUGGUUGUGGAGAAGACAAAAAGGAGGGGAAAAUAGUCUCACAUUAACUAGGCGUAUCAACAGGCUAUGGAGAUGGCCAUCAAUAGAUAUCAAUGUGAGUGAGUAGGGAUUGCCAUGCAACGGAUGCACUAGAGCUAUAAAUGUAUGAAAGCUCAACAAAAGAAACUAGUGGGUGUGCAUCCAACUUGCUUGCUCAUGAAGACCUAGGGCAAUUUGAGGAAGCCCAUUAUCGGAAUAUACAAGCCAAGUUCUAUAAUGUAAAAUUCUCACUAGUAUAUGAAAGUGACAACAUAUGAGACUCUCUAUAUGAAGAACAUGGUGCUAUUUUGAAGCACAAUAUAUGAGACUCGCUAUAUUAUGGUGCUACUUUGAAGCACAAGUGUGGAAAAAGGAUAGUAGCAUUGCCCCUUUUUAUUUAUUUUCUUUUUUUGGGCCUUUUUUCUUUGGUCUUUUUUUAUUGGGACAAUGCUCUAUUGAAUGAUGAUCAUCACACUUUUAUUUAUUUACAACUCAAUGAUUACAACUCGAUUCUAAAACACAGUAUGACUCUAUAUGGAUGCCUCCGGCGGUGUACCGGGAUAUGCAAUAAAUCAAGAGUGACAAGUAUGAAGAAAUUAUGAACGGUGGCUUUGCCACAAAUACUUAUGUCAACUACAUGAUCAUGCUAAGCAAUAUGACAAUGAUGAAUGUGUCAUGAUGACCUAGAUGGUGGAAAGUUGCAUGGCAAUAUAUCUCGGAAUGGCUAUGGAAAUGCCAUAAUAGGUAGGUAUGGUGGCUGUUUUGAGGAAGGUAUAUGGGAGGUGUAUGAUACCGGCGAAAAAUGCGCGGUAUUAGAGAGACUAGCAAAGAUGGAAGGGUGAGAGUGCGUAUAAUCCAUGGACUCAACAUUAGUCAUAAAGAACUCAUAUACUUAUUGCAAAAAUUUAGAAGUUAUCAAAGUAAAGUAUUACACGCAUGCUCCUAGGGGGAUAGAUUGGUAGGAAAAGACCAUCGCUCGUCCCCGACCGCCACUCAUAAGGAAGACAAUCAAUAAACAAAUCAUGCUCCGACUUCGUUACAUAACGGUUCACCAUACGUGCAUGCUACGGGAAUCACAAACCUUAACACAAGUAUUCUUUAAAUUCACAACUACUCAACUAGCAUGACCUUAAUAUUAUCACCUCCAUAUCUCAAAACAAUUAUCAUGCUUCAAUCUUUUCUUAGUAUUCAACACACUCAAAAGAAAGUUUCACAAAUCUUGAAUACCAAGCAUAUUAUUAUUAAGAAAAUUACCAUGCUAUUAAGAGACUCUCAAAAUAAUUUAAGUGAAACACGAGAUAUCAAUAGUUUCUUUAAAACAAAUCCACCACCGUGCUCUAAAAGAUCUAAGUGAGGCACAUAGAGCAAAAUUAUAAUGCUCAAAAGAUAUAAGUGAAGCACAUAGAGCGAAAUUAUCUAGCUCAAAAGAUAUAAGUGAAGCACAUAGAGUAUUCUAUCAAAUUUUAAUUCAUGUAUGGCUCUCUCAAAAGGUGUGUACAGCAAGAAUGAUUGUGGCAUACUAAGACACAAAGACACAAAUAAUACAAGACGCUCCAAGUAAAACACAUAUCAUUUUGGUGAAUAAAAAUAUAGCUCCAAGUAAAUUACCGAUGGAAGUGGACGAAAGAGGGGAUGCCUUCCGGGGCAUCCCCAAGCUUUGACUUUUUGGUGUCCUUGGAUUAUCUUGGGGGUGCCAUGGGCAUCCCUAAGCUUAGGCUCUUGCCACUCCUUGUUCCAUGAUCCAUCAAAAGAAUUCACCCAAAACUUGAAAACUUCACAACACAAAACUCAAAAUAGAAAACUCGUGAGCUCCGUUAGCGAAAGAAAACAAAGACUACUUCAAGGUACUGUAAUGAACUCAUUCUUUAUUUAUAUUGGUGUUAAACCUACUUUAUUCCAACUUCUUUAUGGAUUAUAAACUAUUUUACUAGCCGUAGAUUCAUCAAAAUAAGCAAACAACACACGAAAAAUAAAAUCUGUCAAAAACAGAACAGUCUGUUGCAAUCUGUAGCUAGCGCAAGAUAUGGAACCCCAAAAAUUCUAAAAUAAAUUUCUGGACGUGAGGAAUUUAUCUAUUAAUCAUCUGCAAAAAGAAUUAACUAAAUAGCACUCUUAAAAUAAAAAUGACAGCAGUUCUCGUGAGCGCUAAAGUUUCUGUUUUUUAUAGCAAGUUCAACAAGACUUUCCCCAAGUCUUCCCAAUGGUUCUACUUGGCACACACACUAAUUAAAUACAAAAAACACAACCAAAACAGAGGCUAAAUAAUUUAUUUAUUACUAAGCAGGAGCAAAAAGCAAGGAAUAAAAAAUAAAAUUGGGUUGCCUCCCAACAAGCGCUAUCGUUUAACGCCCCUAGCUAGGCAUAAAAGCGAGGAUAGAUCUAGGUAUUGCCAUAAUAGUAAGAAAGAUUAUUAAAACUCAUUUCAUAUUCUCUAUGUUCGGCAGCAAGCUUUCUUUGAGGCAAGCAAAAGUAAUCAAAAGGACUAAAUUUAAUGGGACAAAAGUCCCCAAGAUCAACCUUGGGAGGUAUAGGUUCCUCCUUCGGUCCUUCAUAAUGCACAACUAAUUCAUCAUUAUAAGCAUUCUUUUGACAGAACCUUGUAAGCCUAUAUUCAAGAGAAUAUCCUAGCUCAUUAUUUCAAAUAGCCAAAUCAUCAUUAAGUUCAGAAAUUCUAUCAACUAAAACAUUGGUAGGAACCUUUCUUCUAAGAUUUUCAUUGAAAGCAACAUAAUCUAGAGUAUUGAAAACGCAUUAUUUCUUCUUGAUCAAAGAGGAUAGCCUCUAUGGGAGGACGGCAAGCGUCCACCCUAUAAUGUGCAAAGAUUUCUUUGGCUUCUCUUAUUAUGAAUCUAAACUCACGAGCCAAAAAUAUAGUAGCGGCACGCUUAACAGAAGAAUGCUCAAUAUUAAAAUUCUAGAAAAAUCCUCUGUAUGGAAGGAUGCAUGUGCAUGAAUUGUCUUUCAAGUUCAACUACAAGCAUAGCAAUAACGUCCGCAAGGCUACUAGUUCUGUGAAGGAUAGAACUACCCAUAGAAGGUAAAGCACGGGCACAAGUAAAGAAAUCUUGAAUAACUCCUUUUCCAAUAAUAUUACCACUACCAACACGGAUUUUUUUUUGUAUGAAAGGUGGUAGGUUCUUUAGUAGGAGCAUCAGAAUUUUCCAUGAUAUUGUUAUCGCUCAUAUUGGCGAUAACCUCCCCAGUUUUAGACAUAAUGACAAGCAAGCAAACUAGCACACGAGCAAACAAGAGGCAAAUAGAGAGGGAGGAUAGGGAGAGAGAGAGGGCGAAUAAAACAGCAAGGGUGAAUUGGGGGGAGAGGAAAACGAGAGGCAAAUGGCAAAUAAUGUAAUGCGAGAGAUAGGGAUUGCGAUGGGUACUUGGUAUGUUGACUUUUUGCGUAGACUCCCCGGCAACGGCGCCAGAAAUCCUUCUUGCUACGUCUUGAGCUUGCGUUGGUUUUCCCCGAAGAGGAAGGGAUGAUGCAGUAGAGUAGCGUAAGUAUUUCCCUCAGUUUUUGAGAACCAAGGUAUCAAUCCAGUAGGAGCCCACGCUCAAGUCCCUCGUACCUGCACAAAACGAUAGCUACUUGCAACCAACGUGAUUAGGGGUUGUCAAGCCCUUCACGGUCACUUACGAGAGUGAGAUCUGAUAGAUAUAAUAUUUUUGGUAUUUUUGGUAUAAAGAUGCAAAGUAAAAAGUAAAAGCAAAGUAAAAAGGCAAAACAAGAUUAAAGUGAUGGAGAUUGAUAUGAUGAGAAUAGACCCGGGGGCCAUAGAUUUCACUAGUGGCUUCUCUCAAGAGCAUAAGUAUUCUAUGGUGGGUGAACAAAUUACUGUUGAGCAAUUGACAGAAUUGAGCAUAGUUAUGAGAAUAUCUAGGCAUGAUCAUAUAUAGGCAUCACGUCCAUGACAAGUAGAUCGAAACGAUUCUGCAUCUACUACUAUUACUCCACUCAUCGACCGCUAUCCAGCAUGCAUCUAGAGUAUUAAGUUCAAAAUAGAGUAACGCCUUAAGCAGGAUGACAUGAUGUAGAGAGAUAAAUUCAUGCAAUAUGAAAUAAACCCCAUCUUGUUAUCCUCGACGGCAAAGAUACAAUACGUGCAUUGCUGCCCCUUCUGUCACUGGGUAAGGACACCGCAAGAUCGAACCCAAAGCUAAGCACUUCUCCCAUGGCAAGAACUACCAAUCUAGUUGGCCAAACCAAACGGAUAAUUCGAAGAGACUUGCAAAGAUAACCAAUCAUACAUAAAAGAAUUCAAAGAAGAUUCAAAUAUUAUUCAUAGAUAGACUUGAUCAUAAACCCACAAUUCAUCGAUCUCAACAAACACACCGCAAAAAGAAGAUUACAUUGAAUACAUCUCCACGAGAGAGGGGGAGAACAUUGUAGUGGGAUCCAAAUAGAGAGAAGAAGCCAUCUAGCUACUAACUAUGGACCCAUUGGUCUGAAGUAAACUACUCACACUUCAUCGGAGAGGCUUGGAUGAUGAUGUAGAAGCCCUCCAUGAUCGAUGCUCCCUCCGGCGGAGCUAUGGAACAGGCCCCAAGAUGGGAUCUCGUGGAUACAGAAAGUUGCGGCAGUGGAAUUAGGUUUUUGGCUCCUGUUCUGAUUGUUUGGGGGUACGUGUGUAUAUAUAGGAGGAAGAAGUACGCCGGAGGAGCAACGAGGGGCCCACGAGGCAGGGGGGCGCGCCCUAGGGGGGGCACCCCCCACCCUCGUGACCGCCUCUUUUGUUCCUUGGAGCAGGGUCCAAGUCUCCUGGAUCACGUUCGAUGAGAAAAUCACGUUCCCGAAGAUUUUAUUCCGUUUGAUAUUCCGUUUCUUCGAAACACUGAAAUAGGCAAAAAAACAGCAAUUCUGGGCUGGGCCUCCGGUUAAUAGGUUAGUCCCAAAAAUAAUAUAAAGGUGGAAAAUAAAGCCCAAUAUAGUCCAAAACAGUAGAUAAUAUAGCAUGGAGCAAUCAAAAAUUAUAGAUACAUUGGAGACGUAUCAGGGUGUCGUCCUACCACCGCAAGUUCACCAUCAGCGUGAGGGGUUAGUAUAUACCACCUCACCGAAAUAUAUAGACCAUCAAAUAGUUUUUGAGCCCUAACUACACAAAAUGUACGUCAUCAUCGUCGCCGUCGUCGCCACCGCCAUCGUCGUCGGGGAUCAUGCAUGUUCACAGGCAACACUACUCUAGUAGUAGUGCUUGCCCAGCCAACUCCUGAGCCACAACACCCUAUGAGCGUCGGCCAUGGCAAUGAACCCAACACCUUGGGUCUUGUUGUCAAGCAGGUGGGAGAGAGCUGUCAUGAGAGCCUCAUCGCUGAAGCCACCAUGGGUCAUGACAGCGCCAUAUAGGUUAGGGUGGACAUCGAGGGGCUUGCACUCCCUGAUGGCUAUUGCCACCUCCUUCAUCGCCUCAGUCAUGCUGCAAAAGACAUUGAUCUCCUUCUUUAUCAGGCCUCCUCUCUUUCUCUUCCUAUCAUGGACGGGGUCAAAUGGCUUGUCGAAGGGCUUCACAAAGGGCUUGUCAGGGCCAUCAAGGACCUCGACGUCCGGGGUCCUAGGGAAGUCUGGCAUGGGACAACCAAGAGGCUCCCCCGAGCCCAUGGCAUGCUUCCCAGUUGCCAGCCCAAAGGAGAAGAUGUGUUGCAUCUGGCUGUAGUUCUGUAUGGGUGUGUUGAGGAACUCCGCGUCCUUUGGGUGGUCCUAAGAAUGAAACACAAGUGUUGUUAGUUGCGAUUAUGAGUAGGCAAUGGUGGACAAUAUGAAAAGGAAGAGGGCUGUGAGCUAACCGCGACAUGGCCGGCGUAGUGCUCUGCCUCCAGAACUAUGGAGCAAGUGUUUUCAUCCCAUGAUGUGCCGCUAAGGUCUCUCAGCUUGGAUACUUGGAUCCAUCGACUUCUUCACUUCCUCAGGUGGUUGUACACCUGGGUGGCAGACACCUCCUGCCCAUAGAACUCGAACACCUGCUUCGCAAUGGUGUUUAAGUGCACCUUCUUGAAGCCCUUGUCAAUCCUAACUCCACUAGAGAUGAGCUCACACACCUUGUUCAGCGCGAACGUGGACAUGAACGGCUGCCACUUCAUGUUCUUUGACCUACCAUCCUUAUUUGCCUUUGCUGCUGCUACCUUCAGUGCAGUGGUGGUAGCAGCAGCAUGAGUUGGCUCAAUGAGUACUACUGGCACAUAGAGGGAAUCAGAUGCGAACACCACUAAAUCAAGUACCAUCUCGGACAUAGGCUACGAGUCCUCGACAAACGAUGGAGCAAACUGGCUGUCAGAAAGGACAAGGGCCUGACUAAGAUCUUGCGUUUGCAUGGUCAUGUCCUACAAUCGUAGCAUGCAUUGACAGUAAGCAUAUCACACAACAUAUCAGACAACCCAUGAAAGCAGAGCAUACAUGUACAUGGUUCAUCACUAUCAUAACAAGCACAUGCUUCAUCGCUAAAAUACUAAGCAUACCGGACAAUCUAUGAGCAGGAACAUACAUCUACAACAAACAACAUGCUACAAAUGGACCACCAAUAGCUACAAAUCGUAGAUCUAAGCACGAUUCAACACAAGCACAAGGUUCAACUUCAAACUCUACUACUAAUCUAGCCUACCACAUGCUUGAAUAUCUAGCCCUACCACAAAUUGCAACCGCAGCAUAGCAAUCAACCAUAUCAGCUCACAUAUCAGACCACUAAUCAACCAUGCAUCUAGAUCAAACCCUAACUACAGCUCAGGUCUAGCUAGAAGGAACAGAGAGAAAGGAAAAUUGAACUCAUAGAGGCCAUGGCUGCAGCUCGAGGAUGAGGAGGGACGGUCGUGGAAGAUCAACGCCGGCCGGUGAAGGAGCGCCGACAUCGUGGACCGCCAGCCGAUGAAGAUGCGCCGCUUACCUGCUCGUCGAUGCCAAUGCGCGUCGGCGGGAAAGCUCGAGCGGAGGGAGAAUGGUGGCGGGAGUUGGGGCGGUGAGGGAGGGGCUAAACCGGGGUGGACUCGGCGGGAGGUGAGCCGAAAUCCUCCCGUCGAUUUUUCGGCGACACGGGCGAGCUCGCGCCAUCUCCCUGCUUGCACGAGGGGAGAAGCGCGUCGCGCCCCCUGCCUCGCCCGAGCCAGGCUCGCGAGCUACUGCCGAUUCGGGCAUUUUCCCUAGGCCUGGCCUGGACGUGCUUUAAGUUCCGUGUGAUGCGGGCUGCACAGUGAUCGCAGGUAACCUAACGGGCUCAAUCUUCCCCGCACGGGCCAGGCUGGGCCAUAUGCAGGCAACCAAACACGCCCAUGAGUGAUCUCAACCUUUCUAUUCUGCUUCAACAAGUUUUUUAGGGGAAAAUUGAUGACACUUUAUUACUUAGAGCCGUGACAAUGUCGCUAAGAUAGUUUGGAGAAAUAGUAAAUCAAGUCUUAGCCAUCUUAUUUAGGCAGCCUUUCCUAGUUAGAUCAUGCGCCGCCCGGUUGACAGAGCAUCUAGCACAUCACACUCUAUAAUCACCCACUGAGAUGAGAAGUUCCUUGACCUCUUCGAGGUGAGGGCCAUACAUCGGUCUAUCCAACUCCUCUAGCUUUAGAGCUUGCAUCGCCCCUAGUUGUUUGUCUCCAGCAUGAUCUUCUCGGCACCAACUUCCAACGCAAGCUGGACUCCUCGCGGACACGCCAUGAGUUCCGCAUGCAUGGAAUCAGCGAUAAAGAAAAAAAAUGGCAUGAGCCUCCCAUGAACAUACCAUGAUGGUCGCGAACGACCGCUCCCCCGCCGCCCAAGCCAUCCAUCUUCGCAAUUGCCCCGUCAAUGUUCACCUUGAGCCAACCCAGCUCAGGAGGAUGUGAAGGCUCUGUUAGCUUUCCUCCCUGAACGACCAGUGAGGAGGAAUGAAUUUCGGGCCACUCCUCUAGCAGUCGCCAAAACUGGUCGACCAGUAAACGGACUUCUUCAGUCAUUUUCCCAUCUCGAGUUGUGUUUCUAGAGAACCACAUGUGAUACAUCGUCAUGAUCAUCACAAGUUUGUCCGCUUCUCUCGCUUUACCAAACCAAUCCAGCAGACAACUCUUUAACUCUUGAUGCAAAGGCACAACGAUUGGAGGGGAGAACACAUCAUCCCCUCUAUCUGCAUUGACCAAGCACCAACAGUGGUGAGCAUAUGGACAUGUCCAAAAGCGAUGAAGAGCUGUCUCAUCCUGCUCGCAAACUGAAAAAAGCACCCUCCUUAAUAUGGCGCCUAUGCAACUUUGCUCCCACUGCUAGCCCGUUAUGGAUGAGCCUCCAUGUGUGAAUUUUAGCCUUGGCCAGAACAUCUAAGCCCCACAGCUCCAACCAGCCUCUGUGUCCGGACACCGAGGAGGACCUCUCAGGGGCACACACCUUCACCUGCUUGAGAUCCAUGCAGAGAUGGUAAGUAGAGCAUACCAAAAAGAAUCAUUCUUAGUGUGGUUCCAGGUUGGGUAGUCCUCCCUCCUCGGUCCUCCGAUUGGUACAUGCAAGAUGUCAUCCAUGUCGCUCCUGUGGAAGGAACGCUCCAAUGAUGCAACAUCCCACUCCUUCCUAGUGUAAUUGAUCAAAUGGUCUGAGAGGAUUACUCACACAUCACAACCAGAGCACAAAUGGAAAACAUUGUAGAUGGCAUUGAAGAGGAAUGAUUGUAUAAAGUCUUACAAUGUCACUAUAUGCGAUGGACCGAUUACAAGUAUGGCAAACUACGGGGAGAAUAUCUAAGGAGAUGGUGGCGGCUAGGUUUUUUUGGGAAUGGUGAUGGUGAUCCUAAGCUCUUGUUGGCGAUGUUCUCGAUGUUCUGGACAUUCUGUUAUGAAUGGGGCAUCAAGCCUGUUAUAAAGUGUGUCAGGCACUGGCGGAGCUACAACAAGGCCAAAUGGGCCAUGGCCUGCCCAACUCAUGGCCAAAACUGUGAAGAGUAGAGAAAAAACUGGGCCUUUGAGAGGAAAAACGUGUUUCCUUCAUCUUGGCCCACCAAACAAAUCUUUUGUAGCUCCGCCAUUGGUGUCAGGGAGGACGCCAUGGGAGAUGCUGGCACCUAGUACGAGCACUGGUAUGACUGGGUGUGUUUGUACCAGACGUUGUCUUCUCUCCUGGAUCCUCUGUGAUGCGUCAAGUUGGCUUGGCUUGAUCUCCGCACUUUAUAUUUCCAUGUAUAGCUCCAUUUCAUGUGGAAAUAAUUACACAAAGGGGUUUGAAAUCUUUUGUAUUUGUUAGUCAUUAGCAAUAAGAUCAGAGUGAUUUUUUGGGAAUAUCCAGGAUUAUCUCGUUUAAACAAUAGUGAAGUGAGUGUAAAGAAUACACUCAUCAAUGGCACGACCGUCGGCAUAAAAUAAGUCCUCCCCGCCUCAUCCUCAUUGCGAUGGUGAUUCUUGGCAUUGUUGGGAGCCGUGUGGAGAGUUGUGUGUCACUAGAUCUGAUUUUUCGGGCAUGCUUUUUCUUCUACAUAUUUGUGUGAGUGGUUUUGUACUGCAGAGCUGAUGGCGCUGUUGUGCAUCGUGAUCCUCUGACUCUAGUUCCGACCGGGUAGUUUGGCCAGGUUCGGCCUUGCAGGGUAUUGCGGAGUAUGUGAGAGUUGUGUUUCCUGCAAAAAAAAGUGUUCCCCGCUUCAGUCUCGCCAGACCUGGGGCAUUAUACAUGCCUUCCCCACUUUAUUUUCCCUCUGGGGCGUCCAUUUGCUUUGUAGCUCGUGUUCGUCAGCAUCUUCUGGUCUAGAUCGACGACUUCUCAGCCAUUACUUCUACAAGCUAAUGAAUUUAAACGUUUUUUCUCUAUCGAGUAUGGAGACAUAGGUCUAAGAUGUGGCAACGAUCUUUGUCCAUGACACAUCAUCAAUGGAUGCAGGAGGAAGAAGACUUCGACACCCCAAAUAUUUAUAUAUAUAUAUAUAUAUAUAUAUAUAUAUAUAUAACUUUUUGUAAGAGCAUCUCCCACCGUUGGCCCCCUAGGGGGCGCGUAAAAUCGCCGCCUGGGGGCGAACCGGCGCUAAAAAUCAGCGUGGGGGCUUUCGGGUUCCCAGCCGCCGGCCCCAGGGUCGCCCCCAGAAGGCUUUUUUUAAAAAAGGAAUUCGGCUAAAGUUCGGCAAACGGGACAAAGAUUCGGCUAAAAUUCGGCAAACAUGACUUACAUAAAAAAGUUUUUAGUACUUAAAAAAUGGCCGUAACUACAACUACGGGCCGAAGAACGCGCUGAGCGCGGCAAAGUCGUCGACAUCGCCACCAUCCUCGCCGUUGUCCUCGUUGUCCCUCUCCUUGACGCGGCCACCCCUGGCCACCCUUGCUGGACCCCUGCCCGGCGUCGCCCCGGCGGACCGGUGGCGGCGGCGCGUCAUCGUCACUGUCAUUGAGGGAGUCCUGGACUAGGGGGUCCUCGGGCGUCCGGCCUGUUAGCCAUGGGCCGGACUGAUGGGCUAUGAAGAUACGAAGACCAAAGACUGUACCCGUGUCCGGAUGGGACUCUCCCUAGCGUGGAAGGCAAGCCUGGCGACGGAAUAUGAAGAUUCCCUCCUUUGUAACCGACCUUGUGUAACCCUAGAUCCUCCUGGUGUCUAUAUAAACCGGAGGACUUAGUCUGGGUGGGCGAUACUCAUUAUAAUAGCCAUACAAGCUAGACCUCUAGGGUUUAUCCAUUACGAUAUCGAGGUAGAUCAACUCUUGUAAUACUCAUAUUCAUCAAUAUCAAUCAAACAGGAUGUAGGGUAUUACCUCCAUAGAGAGGGCCCGAACCUGGGUAAACAUCGUUUCCCUUGUCUCCUGUUACCAUCGACCCUAGAUGCAUAGUUCGGGACCCCCUACCCGAGAUCCACCGGUUUUGACACCGACAUUGGUGCUUUCAUUGAGAGUUCCACUGUGUUGUCGCCGAAAGGUUUGAUGGCCCCUUCAAUCGUCAAUAAUGACGCUGUCCAAGGAGAAACUUUCCUCCCCAGACAGAUCUUCGUAUUCGGUGGCUUCGCACUGCGGGCCAAUUCGCUUGGCCAUCUGGAGCAGAUCGAAAGCUACGCCCCUGGCCAUGAGGUCAGAUUUGGGAGCCUGAACUACGCUGUGGACAUCCAUGGAGACUUGAUCUUCACCGGAUUUGAGACCGCGGCUACUACCCCCGGUCACCCCGAUGAUCAUGACCUAAAUCUGUCAUCAGACCGCAUCCAGGAUAUCACUCCUAUAACCACUCUGGCCUUAGAGCCAGAGCAGACUACGCCAUCCGAGGACGGGAGGAUCAACUCCACCGCGGAGGCCAUAGAUUCCGCGGCGUUGGAGCCGCACAUAGACUUAACCUCUCAUGACAUCUUUGUCACCGGAACUCCGGACUUGUCUUUGGCUGUAAGUUCCGAACCACGUGAGCCCGCGGAUGCCAAACUUGAUCGUUUAUUGAUCUUCGAGUUCAGCGCCGCAGACGUCUUCCAGCACUCGCCUUUGGGCGAUGUGCUAAGCUCGUUAAAGAACCUGUCCUUGGCAGAGGAUUCAGAGCCGAACUAUAUCCGGUUCGAACUAGGGGCUGGUAGUGGAGAAUUUUGCUUCCCACCCGCCACCCACUUCAUCGCCACGGUCGAGGAUUUGACCGACACACUUGAUUAUGACUCCGAAGACAUCGACGGUAUGGACGACGAUGCCGAAGAAGAGGAGGCCCAGAACCCGCCGUUCACCGGAUGCUGGACGGCCACUUCCUCGUAUGAUGUAUACAUGGUGGAUGCACCAAAGGAAAACAGCGGCAAUGACAAGGAAGAUCCAGCCGAGGAUAAACCUUCCGAAAUACAAUCCAAGCGCCGGCGUCAGCAGCGCCGCUCUAAGUCAUGCCGCAGUAAAGACAACAACACCGGCACAGGAGAAGAUAAUACUCCAGAAGGUGCCGAAGACAACGAAGACCCCAUUGAAACAACUAAUGAACAAGAUGAACGGGAAGAUGGGCAGGCUAGCCCCGGCAAGCAGGCCACGCACAAGAACUCAGAGGAAAGAAGUUAUCUUCCGCUCUCCGAGGAUGAGGUGAGCCUUGGCACCGAUGAUUUCAUCGUGCCCGAGGAACCUCUGGAGCAGGAGUGCUUCAAGCGCCAGCUAAUCGCCACUGCAAGGAGCCUGAAAAAGAAGCAGCAGCAGCUUCAAGCUAACCAAGAUCUGCUCAAUGAUAAAUGGACGGAUGUCCUAGCAGCCGAAGAGUACAGCCUCAAGCGCCCAACCAAAAGCUACCCAAAAUGCAAAUUUCUACCUUAGUUUGACGAGGAGGCGCCGAACUACAUACCUCCAUCGUACAAUGUGGCUGACCGGCCACCACGUUGCCGAGACAAAACGGCAACUCACACCGAACACCAUCCAGUCUCGCCUCAGCGCACAGGUAGAGGUAAAUCAACCCACGGUCAUACAUAUGACCUCUGACAAAACCUGAACAAUAAAGCAGGACAUACUAGAUCAAUCUUCGGAUCACGAGGACGUUCCUCGACACGCGACGACGGCCAUCUAUUCGGACGUGACAAACUUAGUCAUGCAUGGGCUGAAAACCGCAGACGGACUCCAUCAAAGCUACGUCGCGAUACGACCUGAUAUAGAGGUGCUGCACACCCUCAUUGAUUCACUGAUGAGGUCCUGGAUCAUGAAUUCCCAGAAGGGUUCAAACCCGUGAAUAUAGAAUCAUACGAUGGAACCACGGACCCCGCGGUGUGGAUCGAAGACUUCAUUCUCCACAUUCAUAUGGCCCACGGCGAUGACCUCCACGCCAGCAAAUAUCUCCUAUAAAACUCAAGGGGCCAGCUCGGCAUUGGCUCAACAGUCUGCCCGCAUAUUCUAUUGGCAGCUGGGAGGACUUGGAAGAGGCCUUCCUCGAUAACUUCCAAGGUAUAUAUGUUCGACCUCCGGACGCUUAUGACUUAAGUCAUAUAAUUCAAUAGCCCAGAGAGUCCGCCAGGAAAUUCUGGACUAGGUUCUUAACUAAAAAGAACCAAAUCGUCGAUUGUCCAGAUGCCGAAGCCCUAGCAGCCUUCAAACACAACAUCCACGACGAAUGGCUCGCUCGCCACCUCGGCCAAGAAAAUCCAAAAUCCAUGGCAGCCCUCACGACACUCAUGACCCGCUUUUGUGCGGGCGAGGGCAGUUGGUUGGCCCAUAGCAAAAACAAUGCAAGCGACGCCAGCACCCGUUAAGCUAAAACUAGCAAAGACAAGUCUCGAUGCAACAGAUACAAGCGUCGAAACAACAGUGAUAACACCGAGGACACGGCAGUCAAUGCCAGAUUCAGGGGCUCUAAGUCCGGUUAGCGGAAGAAGCCAUUCCAAAAGAACGAUUCAGGCCCAUCCAGCUUGGACCGCAUACUUGAUCGUCCGUGCCAGAUUCAUGGAACCAUAGACAAGCCACCCAAUCAUACAAAUAGAGAUUGUUGGGAUUUUAAAUAGGCCGGCAAAUUAAACGCCGAGAACAGGGAAAAAGGAUCACAAAGCGAGGACGAUGACGAAGAGCCCCAGCAACCGAACAUAGGGGGACAGAAGAAGUUUCCCCCUCAGGUCAAAAUGGUGAACAUGAUAUACGCUACCCACAUCCCCAAGAGGGAGCGCAAGCAUGCGCUCAGGGACGUCUACGCGAUAGAGCCAGUCGCCCCAAAAUUCAAUCCAUGGUCGUCAUGCCCGAUCACCUUUGAUCGCCGAGAUCAUCCGACCAGUAUCCAUCAUGGUGGCUCAGCCGCAUUGGUCCUAGACCCAAUAAUUGAUGGGUUCCACCUGACUCGCGUCCUUAUGGAUGGAGGUAGCAGCCUUAAUCUGCUCUAUCAGGAUACAUCGCAAAAAAUGGGCAUUAACCCAUCUCGGAUCAAGCCCACCAGGGCUACCUUCAAAGGAGUCAUACCAGGUGUAGAGGCCCGCUGUACGGGCUCAAUCACACUAGAGGUUGUCUUUGGAUCUUUGGACAAUUUUUGAAGCGAGGAGCUAAUCUUCGAUAUCGUCCCCUUUCGCAGCGGCUAUCACGCACUGCUCGGACGAACCGCGUUCGCUCGAUUUAACGCAGUACCACACUAUGCUUACCUCAAGCUCAAGAUGCCUGGUCCACGCGGUGUCAUAACAGUCAACGGAAAUACGGAACGCUCCCUCCGUACAGAAGAGUGCACAGCUGCCUUAGCAGCAGAAGUACAGAGCAGUCUUCUCAAGCAGAACCUUAAUUCGGCUGCCGAGCCCACGAACACCGUUAAGAGGGUCUGAACUACUCUGCUACAGGAGACCUCGGCUCAUCAGGAGCUCGACUAGCAAUCCGGCCUCCGUCGCAGUUCUGAUCAAGUGGUGGCAUUCGUGCCGCACGCACAUAACUACGCACUCAAAAUCCCAUGGGCAUCGACGGAGGCAUCGCUAGAUUGUGGUCCGUAGUACGGCUCAACCGACAUCGGAUACACAAAUACUUUUACCUUUACUUGUUUCCUUUUCAAGUCUCAAUCCCAUAGGCACCAUCUGAUGGCCUCGUCAUCGGUCCUCUUGAAGGAUAAAACACACCAACACGGCGAGAAACGCAGACAUAUGGGGGACUUUCUAGGUGAUUCUGUUAACGAUAACUUUACCUGUUUUUCAGGACCCACAUGUAGCUCUCCCUUGGUUUCAGCAUGUCAAAUAGCAUGUUGCAUAUUGCACUACUUGUAUCAAUGCACCUUGACAUACUAAUUAAAUUACAAUGAGAACAGUUUGCGGCUGGAGCUGCAGGACUCCAGCUUUUUACCUUUGUACCUUUUCUGGGUUUUUUUCCAGUUCCCCUGUGGAUAACCCUAUCAGGUAGCACCCGUACACUUUGGUAUGUUUCAUGUUCGCCAGGGGCUGCACGACACCCCCACAUUACGACAACACAAGUCCGAACACUUUUCAUAAGUAUAGUUCGGCACCCCGAAUUUAGCAUUAUAUGCAUUGGCUCCGAAUCAUGUCUUUGAUCAAUAGUUGGGUUGCCCGGCUCCUGUGCUUGCUACCUUACGUUCCGCUAUAUCGACUAAGGAAGUAAAGGGAGAACUACUGCGAUUGUGCCUUGGUUUAUCCAAAGGAGCACCUCAGUAGAGAAAGCCUAAAACUGACUGUCAUGAUGCGGCGAGAGCCGGUCAGCUAUUCAGAGGUUGUAAAUCGUUGGAGAUUUCUUCCGCAUUACGUGAAGGAUUGGCACUUCCCCACCAGACACUUAUAGCACUCUAGUUCGGAUACUAGGGGCCGCGCCCAUGUUUUUAUUGUCGCACUCCUAUGGCUAAGUGAGGGCGUUACAACCGCAUAGUCUGGUCGCCUGGUUCGUUGCGCUAAACAACUCCUUCAAGGACCAUCUAAUUGUAUCAAGAUUGUUUAGAUUCCAUCCCGAACACCCCCGUACUACCUAUGUGGGGGCAGAAGCCGAUGACUGGUUAACCUUCAGAUUUCAUACAACAGGCCGCACAGGAAGUAAAAAUUUAAAAACGUAACAAGCAUUAUAUUGCAUAAACACUUUGUUUUAUCAUAGAAGGCAGAGGGAGAUCGCAUACAUUCAUUCAAAGAUAGUGUCUUUCGCAUAGUGAUCUGCAACAAUGCGGGAUCCCUCUAGGACACCAUCAAAAUACAACUCGGGUCGGCGGUGCUCCUUGCCCUCAGGUGGCCCCUCGUUCGUUAGCUUCUUGGCAUCCAUCUUCGCCCAGUGCGUUUUGACGCGGGCAAAGGCCAUCCGUGCACCUUCGAUACAGACCGACCGCUUUAUAACAUCAAGCCCGGGGCAGGCAUCAACAAGCCGCUUCACAAGUCCGAAGUAGCUGCUAGGUGUCGGCGCGACAGGCCAUAGUCGGACUAUCAGCUCCUUCAUGGCUAGCUCGGCCGCCUUGUGCAGCUCGACCAGCUGUUUCAGCUGGUCGCUGAAGGACACCGGAUGUUCGGGCACAAGAUAUUGAGACCAAAUCAGCCUCUUCGUAGAACUCCCCUCAUCGACUCGAUAGAACUCGGCAGCGUCUGAUACGCUGCACGGCAAAUCCGUAAACGCCCCUGGAGAGCUCCAAAUCCGAGUAAGUAAAAGGAACGCUUCCUUCACAAACUUGCUUUGCAUAAUGAAAGCCAUACCCGCCGUGAUCUUCUGGGCCGCCAGGAUUUCCUGAAGGGUGCUCUGGGCUUCGGCUCGGACCUCCUGCAUGCUCUGGAGGGCCUUCGCAAGUUCGGACGCUUGCGUCUUGGAAUCACGCUCCAAGGACUCACACUUCUUGACGGCGUUCUGUAGCUCUUGCUGAACCUCGCCGGCCCGGGCUUUGUGCUUCUCACACGCGAUGCGUUCCUUGGCCGCCUUGUCCUCGGCCUUCUCUAACGCCUUCUUGAGGGCCGCCACCUCGGUCGUGGCCCCUAAUAAAGUUCAUGGCACUUUAGUCAGCACAAACCAUUCAUCCUUUCUAAAUAUACAUGCAGGUUACUACAUACCUUUGCUGUUCUCCAGCUGCUUCUUCAUGAGGCCGAGCUCUUUCUCGGCCCGCUCCAGGCUCUGCUUCAGUCCAGAGACCUCCGCAGUGUGAGCAGCAGCAGCCAGUAGCGAUGCCUACUUAUUCACAUAGACAUAUUAUGUUAGACUCCUGCGAAAAUUAUUUUGAUCCCUUGUUCGGCUUUUCCUUUCCGGACACCGAACAGAGCAUCAGGGGCUAUUGUGCAUAUUGUGAUAUUUUUUCUACAAUUGUUACCUCAAAGCCUAUUAAAAGGCUAGCACAGGCCUCGGUCAGUCCGCUUUUGGCAGACUGGACCUUUUUGAUCACCGCACCCAUAAGGGCACAAUGCUCAUCCAUAAUGGAGGCGCCUCACAGCGCUUCCAGCAGAUUAUCCGGUGCCUCUGGUUGGACAGAGGUCACCGGUGGAACAGGCACACCUCCUCCUUUCGGGGAAGGCAGUUCCCUGGACUCCGGAGCCGUGUAGGUCUCCGGAAUGGUAUCCGACUGAGGGCCGAAGGGAACUUGGACCCCAUUGCCAGUCCCUAGGAGGGAUUUCCCCCCAUGUGUCCGACAGCCAAGGAGUCAUCCUGGGGCGCCACCUUAACAAUUUCUGGAAUCUCCCCUGGUCUGGGAAGAUCCUUUGGGAUGCCACCUCGUCAUCACCCUUGGGUGAGGCAGAAUGAGCGGGCGAUGGAGACAUGCUAGCCAUCUCCUUUGAGUCUAGAGAAUCCUCUGUCGAGGAUCGCAGGGAGCCGUCGUGGGCCAUACUUUAAUGGCAUAGUUUAAACAUAUUAAUAUUAUAAACUAGAAAGGCCAGGUAUUGGGAGGUGCAUAGGGUUUUGGUACUUACGAGGCAGCCUGAGGCUUGGUCUGGGGCAUUCGCUCUGGACUGCUUUCGACAUCCCAUGCGGAGUUACCCGCAAGGGAGCCCUUCCCCCUCUUGGGCGCCUUCACCUCCAAUUUUGUGGAGGCCUCUCUUUUCUUAUUUCCCCCUCUAAGGGGAAGCCGUCUUCUUCUUCCUCCUUGCCGUUGUCUUCGGCGACCGAAGAGUCAGUCUCGUCUUCGGACGACAUGUGCGAAGCACUCUUUCAGCGAAGGCCGCUCCUACUCCCUUUGGUCGUCUUAUUGGCCUUCUUUUCCGGCACAUCAUAGGGUGCCGAAAAUAGCAUCUUCGUUAGAAGUGGGGUUUCCUCAUCUUCGGGAAGUGGAGUUGGACAAUUAAUCUGCCCCGCUAUGUCGAUCCAGGCCUGAAAAUUGAUAGGAAGGCUUAGACUCCUUCCCAAAAUAUGCCAGUAAAGGCUAUACCUUGAAUACAUGAAAGAACAUACCAAAUUGGCCUGGCGCUUUAAGCUGAGCCCACGAUCUUCGGUCAUGGGCGGUGGUGUCUCGCCGGCCUUGAAGAGCACUUGCCAGAUAUCUUCAUGCGUUGUGCCGAAGAGCUCUAGUAGCGUCUGGUGCUUGGCCGGAUCGAACUCCCACAAAUAGCAAGUCCAGCAUUGGCACGAAAGGAUCCGGCGAAUGAGCAUAACCUGGAUCACAUUGACGAGUUUGAUCCUCUUGGUUAUCAUGUUCUGAAUGCACGUCUGGAGCCUAGUCAGCUCGCUUGAAGAACCCCAGGUGAGGCCCUUCUCUUGCCAGGAGGUGAGCCGUAGCGGAGCUCCGGAUCUAAAUUCGGGGGCCACCGCCCAGUUGGUGUCGUGCGGCUCGGUGAUGUAGAACCACCCCGACUGCCACCCCUUCACUGUCUCCACAAAGGAGCCUUCGGGCCAUGUAACGUUGGACAUCUUGCCCGCCAUGGCACCUCCGCACUCUGCCUAUUGGCCUCUCACCACCUUCGGCUUUACAUUAAAAGUCUUCAGCCAUAGGCCGAAGUGAGGUAGGAUACGGAGGAAGGCCUCACAAACGACUAUAAAUGCCGAGAUGUUGAGGACAAAGUUGGGGGCUAGAUCGUGGAAGUCUAGCCCGUUGUAAAACAUUAGUCCGCGGACAAACGGGUGGAGAGGGAAUCCCAGCCCGCGAAUGAAAUGUGCGAGAAAUACAACCCUCUCAUGGGGCUCUGCGGUAGGGACGAUCUGUCCUUCGGCCGGGAGACGGUGAACGAUCUCCUUGGCCAGGUAUCCGGCCCCUCGAAGCUCCUUGAUGUCUUUCUUCUUGACAGAAGAAGCCAUCCACUUGCCACCAACUCCAGAUCCGGACAUGGUUGGAGUGCUUUCUCCGGCAGGGGAAGCUAGGGCUUGGGCGCUGGAGCUCUAGAAUGGAUGAGCGGAGGAAGGGGACGACAGGGGUGAGUGAGGAUGAAUCCUUAUCCCCUUAUAAAAGCCGCGAAUAUCAAGCGCCUCCCUGCUCGCCUUAAAACUUGCCUACUCCCAAGGGUUGUGUAAACGGCACGGUUGGGUUACCCACGCCCGUAUUGGUGAGAAUCCCGUAAUAAGGGGACACGAUCUCUGCUUUGACAAGACGUGCCAAUGGAAACCGCAUCUCGAAACAUGGGAUGGCAGACAAAAUAGUUUGAUAUGGUGACCGGGCAGACGUGAUGUCAUAUUGUAAAAAAUUAUUAGCAGAUUGGAUUCGUAAAAUAUUAUAUUCUCUCUGUGAUUUUGUGUGGUGUGAGUUACAGGUCCAGAUAUAUUGGUAAGACCGAAGACUGUUUUGGAGUUCGGAAAGAGGGGAACCCGCCUUGCAAUGCUGAAGAAAAAUCUGCGCGCUGGACUCCUCAUCAUUGAAGCCAGGUUUAGGGGCUACUGAGGGAGUCCUGGACUAGGGGGUCCUCGGGCGUCCGACCUGUUAGCCAUGGGCCGGACUGAUGGGCUAUGAAGAUACGAAGACCGAAGACUGUACCCGUGUCUGGAUGGGACUCUCCCUGGCGUGGAAGGCAAGCUUGGCGAAGGAAUAUGAAGAUUCCCUCCUUUGUAACCAACCUUGUGUAACCCUAGAUCCUCCUGGUGUCUAUAUAAACCGGAGGACUUAGUCCGGAUAGGCGAUACUCAUUAUCAUAGCCAUACAAGCUAGACCUCUAGGGUUUAGCCAUUACGAUCUCGAGGUAGAUCAACUCUUGUAAUACUCAUAUUCAUCAAUAUCAAUCAAGCAGGACGUAGGGUAUUACCUCCAUAGAGAGGGCCCGAACCUGGGUAAACAUCGUGUCCCUUGUCUCCUGUUACCAUCGACCUCAGACGCAUAAUUCGGGACCCCCUACCCGAGAUCCGCCGAUUUUGACAUCGACAGUCAUUGUCGAGGAUGACGACGCCUCCCUCGUUGCGGCCACGGCGCCGAGCGGCUCGUAGGCGCAGCAAUGGCGCUCCAGCUCCGUCCGCACCCAGUCUUCGCGUGCCCACUUCAAGGCCCCCGAGUUGUCGAGCUCCUCCUUCACGCUGCCGGCGAGCCCUGGCUCCAUCUUCACGGUGAUGAGCCCUGACUCCGUCUUCGGCUUGAUGUAGCGGGGAGGAGCCGAGGAGGAGGCGCGCCCGCCGCCCUCGUUGAUGAUGAUGCCGGCGCUGCGGGUGCGCCGGCCGAGCGGCGUCUCCACUGCGGGCUCUACCUGACGCCGAACACCACUGACUAGCCGGAGGAGUGGGAAGAGGAGGAGCCGAACCUCCUGGGUAUCCAUUGCCUGGCGCUCCGGCGGGGGACCGGGCGGUGGCUGCGGCAGGGUAUGUUAGCGGCGGGUCGUUGCCACCCUCGAGGUGCUGGAGAACCUUGUGGAGCGUGCGGCCGGGGGUGCCCCACGACAGGCGGUGCCCCUCACUGUUCUUGACACCCUAACCAUCGGCGCCCCGUUGGUGGAGGCCAGCCGCUGCGCGUGCCGGUGCUAGAAGUACGCCGCCCACGCCUCCGCCAGCGUGCUGCGGGAGGGCGUGCUGCUCCUCCGCCAGCGACGCCCGCACGCGGUCGACCUCGUCGGAGAAGUAGUUAGCGCGCGUUGACGUCUGGCAUCGGGGGAAUGGGGACACCACCGCCGCUGAGCCUCCACCCGCCCGGCCCUUCGCGCACGUCGGGCGGCGCUGAGAUGUUGGCCUCGAAGAGCAAAUACGCCUCCCACCCGUGCAGCGAGCGGCGGCCGAAGCCGUUGGCUGCCGCCGCAUCGCCGGGGAAUCACUCGCCCAUCGUCGCGGCUGUGCUUGGGGAGAGAGGGCAGGAUCAUCAGUGGCGGUUGCACACGGGGAGAGAGAGGCAGAGCACGGCGGGGGGUGGCCAGAGGUGAGGGGGAGGCGUUGAUUUUAUAUCCGCCCAGCGCCAUGUGUACGCAUGAUGGGAGGGAGGGGGUCACCGCGCCGCCCAUGAGGAAUCAAUGGAAGGCUGCUGGCGGCAGCCUUGGCAUUGUUCCCCACGGGAAACCGAGGCGUUGUGAGGACGACGAGGCGAUAGUGUCCCUGACUUGUCGGGCCCGCAGUUAGUUCACGCCAAAAUCGCUCGCCCCGGCGCCCCCGGCGUGCCGGGUUCGGCCUGGGUCCGCUGGCCCCAAUUUCGGCCCAACCCGCCAAAAAGGGCUCCUGGGGGCGCGACUGGACCAACUUUCGCCCACAGGCGCUAAAGAAUCGCCUGGGGCGUGUUGGGGGCGCGGCUGAAGAUGCUCUAAGGAUGUUUUUGUAAAGUUUCACGCUAGACCUAUGGCCUUUCCGUGCAAAAAAACAUGUACGACAAGUUGUCCGCCGCCUAAGUAGCAUGCUAACUACAUUGAUAAAUUUGAACAACCAUUUGCUAACAUUUUUUAACAACCCAGAAUAUCUUUAUUCUUUAGUUGACAAAUGGUCAUAACACCAUGGAAACCUAGUUUUGUAUGCAAUACUGAUGAUACGGUCAAAAGUCAACAGAUUCUACUACACAAUAUCACAUCUAGCUCUCCUCACGAGAAACCCCUCCCAAGACGAGGGUGCUAUCGCCUCCCGUCGGUGCUGCCGCUGAUCCGCCUUGUCUCAGGUGGCCUUAGGACCAUAAAGGUGUGGUAGGCUCUCGCCGGUGGAAGGGCUCUGCUCCAUUUUAGCUCCUUUUUUAGGGUUAAUUAGGAUUUGUGUCCUAUUCAGAGAAGUGAGACGGCGGCGGCUCCCUGUAGCUGAAAUAAGUUCCUCCCCGCCUAGUCCCCAUUUCGGUGGUGCAUACAACAUUAUUGGAAGGCGUGUGGAGGUGUGUCUUCGGUGGAUCUCAUGGGACUCGAUCGGUAUUGGUCUUAGGUGGAUCUCCAUGGGUCCAGUCUUAUUCCGUUCGUGUGUCUACAUGUUGGAUUCUUUUGUCUGCGCUUCUCUUCAUCGAUGGUGGUUGCUGUUCUGGAGCGCUGGCGAUGUGGGGCCUUAAUAUGACGACUUUUUGACUGUCUACUACAACGAGCUUUGCCCGGCUCUUAUGAAGGAGGGGCGAUGACGGUGGCGCGCCUUCGGCUCACUCUAGUGCUUGUAGUUGUUGCUAGAUGGUCAAUUGACUUGAAUGUAAUUUUUAUUAUUUAUAGUGUUCUUUGUACUACCAUUACAGUUGAUGAAUAGAUGGUAAGUGUUCUUGCAAAAAUAAAUAAAUAAUGAUACCUAUUCUAUUUCAAAAUAUAUUCAAACGAAAGUGCAUCUAGGUCUAAAUGUAUUUUGGUGUCGAUGACAGUAUGAUAGUGGGACUAAUGAUGGCUAUCAAGUUUAUCUCAGGACAUCGGUCUUUUGGUGAAAUGUUAUGGAGAUGGUUGACCAUCUGUUUCAAAAAGGAAGGCGUCGGUUCUUCAAAGUGAAGUAAAAAAGAUCGUAGUCUCCUCUCCAUCCCUCUAGUUGAAGGAAAUAUGCCCUAGAGGCAAUAAUAAAGUUGUUACUUUAUAUUUCCUUAUUCAUGAUAAAUGUUUAUUAUUCAUGCUAGAAUUGUAUUGAUCGGAAACCUUAAUACAUGUGUGAAUACAUAGAAAAACACUGUGUCCCUAGUGAGCCUCUACUUGACUAGCUCCUUGAUCAAAGAUGGUUAAGGUUUCCUGACCAUGGACAUGAGUUUUCAUUUAAUAAUGGGAUCACAUCAUUAGGAGAAUGAUGUGAUGGACAUGACCCAUCCGUUAUCUUAGCAUAUUGAUCACUCAAUUUUAUUGCUAUUGCUUUCUUCAUGUCAAAUACAUAUUCCUUCGACUAUGAGAUUAUGCAACUCCCGGAUACUGGAGGAAUGGCUUGUGUGCUAUCAAAAGUCACAACGUAACUAGGUGAUUAUAAAGAUGCUCUACAGGUAUCUCCAAAUGUGUCUGUUGGGUUGGCAUAGAUCAAGGUUAGGAUUUGUCACUCCGAGUAUCGAAGAGGUAUCUCUGGGCCCUCUCGGUAAUGGACAUCAUAAGAAGCCUUGCAAGCAAAGUGACUAAUGAGUUAGUUACAAGAUGAUUCAUUACGGAACGAGUAAAGAGACUUGCCGGUAACAAGAUUGAACUAGGAAUGUGGAUACCGACGAUCGAAUCUCGGGCAAGUAACAUACCGAUGGACAAAGGGAAUUACGUAUGUUGUCAUAACGGUUCGACCGAUAAAGAUCUACGUAGAAUAUGUAGGAGCCAAUAUGGGCAUCCAGGUUCCGCUAUUGGUUAUUGACCGGAAAGGUCUCUCGAUCAUGUCUACAUAGUUCUCAAACCCCUAGGGUCCGCACGCUUAACAUUUGUUGACGAUAUAGUAUUAUAUGAGUUAUGUGAUUUGGUGACCGAAUGUUGUUCGGAGUCCCGGAUGAGAUCACGGACAUGACGAGGAGUCUCGAAAUGGCCGAGAGGUAAAGAUUGAUAUAUAGGACGAUGGUAUUCAGACACCGGAGGUGUUCCGGAGGGUACCGGGUGCUUAUCGGGUCACUGGAAAGGAGUUUCGGGCACCCGCGGCAAAGAUAUGGGCCUUAUGGGCCAUGUCGAUGUCAAAACCGACCGAUCUCGGGUAGGGGGUCCCGAACUGUGCAUCUGAGGAUCGAAGGUUACAGGAGACAAUGGAGACACGAUGUUUACCUAGGUUCAUGCCCUCUUAAUGGAGGUAAAACCCUAUGUCUUGCUUGAUUGUAUUUGAUGAGUAUAGGGGUUACAAGAGUUGAUCUACCUCGAGAUCGUAAUAGUUAAACCCUAGAUGUCUAGCCUAUAUGAUUUGUGUUAGCCUCUACGGACUAAACCCUACGGUUUAUAUAGACACCGGAAGGGCUUAGGGUUAUAGAGAGUCGGUUUACAGAUAAUGGAAACUACUCAUCCUGGCGUUAAGCUUGCCAGCCACGCAAAGGAGAGUCCCACCCGGGCAUGGGGGAAGGUCUUCUAUCUUGUAUCUUCAUGGCCCAUGAGUCCGACCCAAGCUACACAGCUCAGACACCCAAGGACCCCAUAAUCCAGGACUCCCUCAGUAGCCCCUGAAGUUGCCUUCAAUGACGAUGUAAUGUUCGUCCCAUGUCUUCGACUUUGCAAGGCGGGUUCAUUAUAAUCCGGACCAAUGAUAAUUCGGCGAUAACCUCAAUGUCUUCUACGAUUCCCCCCUGAUGGUGCAUUGAUUUUUGUGCAUCGGGUGAAUACGAACGGUCCGUGCUUUUUCAUAAAUAAUCCCUUCACCACGCUCGGGCGACACCUAUAUAAAGAGAUAUAGAUCUCGAAAGGCCAUCUCACACCACGCAGAAGAAAACAUGGCCAAGUCUAGCCACAAAACAAAGCCUUCCAUCAUGGCCGGCACCCCAGGCUCCUCUUCGCGCCCCUGUGUCCCUCAAGAGGGCGAUUGGCAGAGUUUCUCUAUGCCUCAUCUUCAACUAAGCCGGCUCCAGACGCAGGGCUACCUCCCCCUCGUAGAUAUAGUUCCUGUUCGAGCGGGAUUAUAUUCAAUUGGUAAUGACGCGAUGGCUGAGAACUUCCCCAACCCCAAUAAGGAGGAGAGGGUGUGCUUCAUCCCAUUUUUGUUACGGGGCCUGGGAUUUCCAAUCCAUCCCUUCCUCCGGGGGUUAUUGGAAUUUUACGACAUCCAAUUGCACAACCUCACCCCAGGUUCGAUUCUGCACAUCUCAGGCUUUGUUGCCCUCUGCGAGCUAUUCCUAGGCAUCGAGGCCCAUUUCAGAUUAUGGAGGAAAUUCUCCUGCCUCAUUCCUCGCCACAAAGGGGGUUCCAUAUUUGAAGUGGGUGGUGCCGAAGUAUGGCGUAUUGCCGGAUCCAGAUACCCUGUAGGAACUCCUAAAGAAGCAUACCCGCAAUGGUCUUUGGAGUGGUUCUAUAUGGACGAUGUUCCGCUGCCGGAUCCAGUUAGGCGCGGUCUCCCUGAAUUUUCUAGCGCUCCUAUAAAGAAGCGCCUCAACUGGCGUCCCCAAAGUCCCAAAGAAGAGGACAGUGCGGAGAUACAGAGGUUGGUCAGCAAGGUCAGGCUGCUAACCCACUCCGAACUCUCAAUAGUUGAAUUCAUGGCGAUCGCAAUAAAGAGGUGUGUGGAGCCUCUUCAAUCCAGAGUAACUCCCUUAUGGUGUUACAACAGAGAAGACGACGCAUCCCGUUACAGAUGGUAGGGUCCGGAUACCCUAGCAGAACUGGCUCCAAUUUUGGCCGAUCUGUACAAGGGUGAAAAAGAAGUUUUUCCCCGGUUAAACUGUCGGGAGGCCUAUUCCAUGUACGCCCCUAUCGAAUGGGUAAGAUCUCGAUUGUCUGUGCUUAUUUCACUGCAUUGCAGACACUAACCGAAUGUACUUUUUGUCGCCACCAACUAGUCAUGGAGGAGGAUGACCGAGGACGUCCACUGUCCUACUCCUGAGCCGGAGGAUCAUAAUCGUGAUGAAGAUCCUGUCUUUUGCAAGGAUCCGGAUAUAUAUAUAUAUAUAUAUAUAUAUAUAUAUAUAUAUAUAUAUAUAUAUAUAGAAUUCGACGAUGGGGUAUUCUAUCAGGCGAGCUUUGACGGUUUAGAAGUGGCCAUCAUCGCCGACUACCCUCGACUUUACCCAUUCUUCAUCGUGAGUAUCCAGAGGCUUCCUAAGAAGAGAUCCUUAUCUGUAUCCUUAUCUGUUGUACUGAUCUGGAUUUUAACAGGAUCGGCGCUCCAGGGACCGUAUCUCCUUGAGCGCGGCCCCCACGCAAGGCCAUCGUUCAAAACAAAAAGGGACCGGGAGUACUACUGAGACCUCACAGUCUUCCAAGAGGUAUGUAUACUUAAUGUAUGUCUAGGCAUGAUUCUGGAUUGUUAAGAGUCUCCCCUUUUUAUCUUUUAUUUUUAGGAGGAGUACGCGGCAAACGGUGGGAAAAUGGCCAAUUAGCCAAAUGUCCACUAAUCCGGUACCAGACUCAUCAGCAAGGACGCAAGCCGACGCCACGCCCGUUUCGCCUCCUCAAGAGGAUUCAGAUGAUGUGUCGGUCAUGAAUUCCGAAGUGGAGAGCGUGAUGAAUCACCGUCGUUUAAAGGAAGCUAUGCGUGCUCCGGCCUUGUCCGAACAAGAAUUCACCACACUGAGUUCGACAGAUGCAUAUAUCCAAGCCGCUCGAGACGGCCUUGCCAGAGUUAUUCAGCUGUUCUCAAAGAAUAUACAGGUAAAAUUUGACACAAUUUUGCAUGGUCAUAUGCCAGUAGCCCCUGAGACUUGAAACGGUGAAGCAAACCGAUUUAAGGAUCGAUAAUUUGUGCAGGUUCUGCAAGAAAAGAACACUAUUCUGGGUCAGGAGCUGAACACAAACCAGACGCAGCUGAGUGUAGCCACCGCCGAACUAGCGGAUUUGAAAGAGACCGCAAUGGGCAUGUCUAGGGAGAGAAAACUUGAGGAGGAAAAGGACAAAUAGUUCGAAGAGAUAGAGAGCUUGAAGGCUCAGCUAUCAGCCGCUCAGAAGGAAAAUGAAAAGCUGAAGGGCGGCAUGUUUGGUAUGUCUUCCCCUCUUAUUUAGGACCACCAUAGGCAGUUCACGUUUAAUCCGUAAUGCGGAAUAUCAUGAAUUUAUUGCGGCAGGUUUGUUAACUGGUCGACCAGAGGAGGAAGUGUCCGGGUUUCAAGGUGACGUGCUAAAGGAGUUGUCCGCCGUGCAUGCUUGGGCCCGGAAGGCCAUGAGGAGUAUGGUGAAGGCGUUAUGGCCAUCUGAUACCCCUCUAGAAAGUAUGGAAGCCCUGGCAAACCUGUUAAAAGGUGCUUGGUGCCGGUUCGAGCUAUGGAAGACGUCUACCUGUCGUGAAGGCGCACGAGAAGCCUGGGCCUUGGUGAAGACACGCUUCUCGAAACUGGAUCUGAAUCAUAUGGCCCGAGUAGGACCACAGGGACCUGAUGGGAAGGAAAUCCCAUUAAAUUUAAUCUAUGAUCAAGUAAUGAUCACUGCAAAAUAUUUGCAGGAAGACCGCAGAUUAGACAGCCUUAUAGACGACAUAGAGAAGGAAUAGGUUUUUAACUUAAUGUAUCAAUGUACAUUUAUGAUCAACCUAUGGUUUGAUCUGAACAUGUGAAAUGAUUUUGUAUUCGCAGACUUUCGGCUUUAACCUCCAAAUCAAUAAUGGUGGAUUGUUUCCAGAUACGUAGGACAAAAGGAAGUAUCCUUUCGGAAACCAGGCAACCCAGUCAUAGUGCUCGAACUGAAAAAAAAUCGAGUUCGGGAUGUAUGUUAUAUUACAUAUGUAAGAAACAUCUUCCAAGGAAAAUAGUUAUGUUAAAGGUUCCUUUCCUUGGGUCGGCAUAUUAUGAUUACACGUGCUGGUGCAUGUGGUCCGUAGUACAGAAAACCAUCUCAAAAUGCUUUAAAGAUGAUUGCAAUACAACAACAAUCUAUCAUUUUAGUGCCGACCAAUUAUUCCCUUAUGAACGCUAGCUUUCGGCUUCACCCGUCUGAGGUACAUGUCCGGAUGACCCGGUUGUAACAAUCACAGAGGUGCUCCCUUUAUGCCCUAGCCGAACAAUCGGGAACAUAGGGCAUAAGCAUAGGAGCGAGGCAACCUGAUGUCGCUUGAAGCUACGUCGGUAUUUCCCCAAAGAGGAAGGGAUGAUGCAGCACAGCGGCGGUAGGUAUUUCCCUCAGAUAUGAAACCAAGGUUAUCGAACCAGUAGGAGAAACAAGCAACACAACAUAAACAGCCCCUGCACACAGAUAACAAAUCCUCGCAACCCGACGUGUUAAAAGGGUUGUCAAUCCCUUUCGGGUAACGGUGGCAGAAAUUGGUGCGUGACGGGAGAAAGUUGUAAUAGAUUAAAUAAAUAGAUCACAAAUAAAAUAAAGUGCAACAAAGUAUUUUUGGGUUUUUGGAUUAGUAGAUCUGAAAAUAAAUGCAAGAGAAAAGUAGAUCGCAAAGGCAAAUAUAUGAGAAAGAAGACCCGGGGGCCGUAGGUUUCACUAGUGGCUUCGCUCGAGAAAAAUAGCAAACAGUGGGUAAACAAAUUACUGUUGGGUAAUUGAUAGAACCUCAAAUAAUUAUGACGAUAUCCAGGCAAUGAUCAUUAUAUAGGCAUCAUGUCAAUGAUUAGUAGACCUACUCCUGCCUGAAUCUACUACUAUUACUCCACACAUCGACCGCUAUCCAGCAUGCAUCUUGUGUAUUAAGUUCAUGGAGAAACGGAGUAAUGCAAUAAGAACGAUGACAUGAUGUAGACAAGAUCUAUCUAUGUAGAGAUAGACCCCAUCGUUUUAUCCUUAGUAGCAAUGAUACAUACGUGUCGUUUCCCUUUUUGUCACUAGGAUCAAGCACCAUAAGAUCGAACCCACUACAAAGCAUCUCUUCCCAUUGCAAGAUAAAUAGAUCAAGUUGGCCAAAGAAAACCCAAAUAUCAGAGAACAAAUAUGAGGCUAUAAGCAAUCAUGCAUAUAAGAGAUCAAAGAAACUCAAAUAACUUUCAUGGAUAUAAAAAGAUAGAUCUGAUCAUAAACUGAAAGUUCAUCGAUCCCAACAAACACACCGCAGAAGAGUUACAUCAUAUGGAUCUCCAAGAGACCAUUGUAUUGAGAAUCAAGAGAGAUAGAUGAAGCCAUCUAGCUACUAACUAUGGACCCGAAGGUCUACAAAGAACUACUCACGAAUCAUCGAAGAGGCACCAAUGGAGGUGGUGAACCCCAUCCGAGAUGGUGUCUAGAUUGUAUCUGGUGGUUCUGGACUCUAUGGCGGCUGGAUGAAUAUUUCGUCGACACCCCUAGGGUUCUGGGAUUUUUGGGGUAUUUAUAGAGCAAAGAGGCGGUCCGGGGUCACCCGAGGUGGGCACCCUGGUGGGUUGUCCCCUCCUCGGGACUCCCCCUAGGCGCAACCAGGGCCCAACAUGUUCCUUCUGGUCCAUAAAAAAUCUCUGUAAUGUUUUGUGGCAUUUGGACUCCGUCUGAUAUUGAUUUUCUGCGAUGUAAAAAAGACGGAAAAACAGGAAUUGGCACUUGGCACUAUGUCAAUAGGUUAGUACCAAAAAAUGAUAUAAAAUGAUUAUAAACAUCCAAGAUUGAUAAUAUAACAGCAUGGAACAAUAAAAAAUUAUAGAUACGUUGGAGACGUAUCACAACCCAGCUUGGCAAAAAACUUAAGUCAUAGAGGUGCAGAUAAUGGCAAGAAAGGAUGUAUAUCCGCAAACAACACAUGUAUUGUGAGCUCUAGGCUUGAUAUAAUAAUAAGCUUCUACUUACAGAAGCCCCUAGUCAUGGCAGGGUGUAUACAUUUAAGGAUGUGUACCCCUCAAGUGUUCGGCCUAUCCGAACACACCAUGGGAAACACAUAAAAUGAAGAAAGGAUUUUUUUUUGAAAAUGAGACAAAAAGAACGAAUAAGAAGCAUGGCCGUACUUAUGGCUUCUUAUGGCUUCCCCCUUUAAGGGGUCUGACCAUAUCUAGCCCCCAGUGUCGGUGUCAAAACCAGCGGUUCUCAGGUAGGGGGUCCCGAACUGUGCGUCUAAGGUCGAUGGUAACAGGAGAAAGGGGACACAAUGUUUACCCAGGUUCGGGCCCUCUUGAUGGAGGUAAUACCCUACGUCCUGCUUGAUUGAUCUUGAUGAGUAUGAGGAUUACAAGAGUUGAUCUACCACGAGAUCGUUGUGGCUAGACCCUAGAAGUCUAGCCUGUAUGAUUGUAAUUGUUCUCUACAGGCUGAACCCUCCGGUUUAUAUAGACACCGGAGGGGGCUAGGGUUAUAGAAAGUCGGUUACACAGAAAGGAAAUAAUACAUCCAGAUGCCUAGCUUGCCUUCCACGCAAAGGAGAGUCCCAUCCGGACACGGGAGGAAGUCUUCUACCUUGUUUUUUCAUGGCCCAACAGUCUGACCCAUGUCACACAGGCCGGACACCCGAGGACCCCUUAAUCUAGGACUCCCUCAGUAGCCCAUGAACCAGGCUUCAAUGACAAGGUGUCCGGCGCGUAGAUUGUCUUCGGCAUUGCAAGGCGAUUUCCUCCUCCGAAUAUUUCAAAGUAAUCCUCGAACACAGAGAACGUGUCCGGCUCUGCAAAACAGGCUCCAUAAAGAGUAUAAUAUUUAACAAGUCCCAUCUACUGACAUUCUUGUAGUGGGACUCCAUGUCUCCGCCCGAUCAUUAUUUCAAACUAUUUUUAGCCUCACGUUCCACAUUUUGAGAUGCAGUUUUCAUUGGAACGUCUUGUCAAAGCAGAGAUCAUGUCCUCUUAUUGCUGGAUUCUCAUCAAUACGAGCAUGGGUGAUCCAACCACGCCGCCUGCACGGCCCUUAGGGAAUAGGCGAGUUUUAAGGCGAGUGAGGAGGCACUUGAUAUUCGCUACCUUUAUAAAGGGAUAAGGAUUCACCUCUUUCACCCACACCUUCCUUCUCUCUGCCCAUCCAUUCUCAAGCUCCAGUGCCCAAGCUCCCAUCUUUUCUGCCUCAAAAAAAGCACUCCAGCCAUGUCCGGAUCCGGAGCGCAGGGCAAGUGGAUGGCCUCCUCCGUCACGGAGAAGGACAUUACGAAGCUCCGGGAGGCGGGGUACUUGGCCCCGGAAAUCGCCCACCGGCUUUCGGCCAAGGGGCAGAUCGUCCCCACCCCAGAGCCUCAUGAGAGGGUGGUAUUCAUCCCCCACUUCAUCUGCUGGCUGGGAUUUCCUCUCCAGCCAUUCGUCCGCGGACUCAUGUUUUACUACGGGCUAGAUUUCCAUGAUCUGGCCCCAAAUUCUUUCCUCAACAUCUCAGCAUUCAUUGUCGUGUGUGAGGCCUUCCUCCGCAUCCCACCUCACUUCGGCCUGUGGCUGAAGACCUUCAAUGUGAAGCCGAAGGUGGUGGGCGGUCGACACGCAGAGUGCGGAGGCGCCAUGGUGAGCAAGAUGUCCAACGUCCCAUGGCCCAAAGGUACCUUCAUGGAGACCGUCAAGGGGUGGCAGAAGCAGUGGUUCUAUGUCACAGAGCCCCGCGACACCACCUGGGCCGUGGCUCCCGGAUUCAAAUCCGGGCCCCAAUGCGGCUUACCUCCUGGCAAGAGAAGGGCCUAGACUGGGAAUCAUUGGACGAGUUGGUUGUGUUGCAAAUGCGCAUCAAGAGCAUGGUGGACAAGAAUAUCAAGCUUGUCAAUGUGAUCCAGGCGAUGCUCUUUCGCCGGAUACUUCCUUGCCAGAGGCGGACUUGCGAUUUAUGGGAGUUCGAUCCAGCCAAGCACCAGACCCUUCAACAGUUCUUCAGCGCUACUCACGAAGACAUCUGGAGGGUGCUUUUUAAGGCCAAUGAAACGUGGCCGAAGGGGACUGAGGACUGUGGGUACAACCUGGCCCAUCCCGUCAGUCCGGUAAAUUUCCUAUAUUUCGAGAUAUAUCCUUCACCUGUAUAUUCAAGGAAGACGUCUAAGCUUCCCUAUCUAUCUUUCCAGGUCUGGACAAAGAAGGUGGAGUGGAUCCAGUGUCCGGCUCCAUUGCCCGAAGACCCAACAAUCCCACUUCUAACGAAGAUGCUGGUUUCGGCGCCUUACCGGGCGUCGGGGAAGAGGGGCAAGAAGAAGGCCAAGGAGACCCGAAGUGGCCUCCGCCGCAAAGGCACUUCGGAUGUGACGUCCGAAGACGCCGAAACCCAGUCCUCCCCCGCUGCCGAAGACGACGAGGAGGAUGAAGAAGAAGAGUAGGAAAGCAACUUUCCCCUCGAGGGGGAAGGAAGAAAAGGCCAGCCUCCAUGGAUCUGGAAGCAGAGGCGCCCAAGAAGGGGAGGUUCCCCCUCGCGGACAACUCCACGUUGGAUACAGACAGCAGCUCCGAGUGGCGCCCCAGGGAGAAGCCCCUGGCCGAAUCGUAAGUACUCCAAAGCACCUAUGAAUACAUAUAUCCAACUUCUUUAUUUCGUGGUUUUAAUGUGUCGAAUCAUGCGCUGCAGUCCGGCUCACACCCGCCCCCAGCGAUCCUCAUCUUCAGGUAACUCACUGGAUCCAAAGGUGAUGGAUAGCGGGUCACUUCCGGAGGCCUCCUCUUCCAAGGCCACAUACGACGAGGAGGUGUUGUCCCGAAGGACCUUCCCAGGCCAGGGAGAGGAACAGGAGGCCGUCAGGGAGGCGCCAGAAGGUGAGACCUCGGCCGCCGGAAACAUGGAGGAGCAAAUCCCCCCGAAGACUAGCGAUGGGGGCCAUGUCCAAUUCGGUCCCCAGCCGAAUACUAUUCCGGAGGCCCAUACGGCUCCGGAAUCAGGCAAGCAACCCCCUUCACGAGAAGGAGGUGCACCUAUUCCGCCAGUGACCUCUGUGCAUCCAGAGGCACCAGAUACUUUACUGGAAUUACCGCGAAGUGCUUCCAUUGUUGAAGAACACCGUACCCUCAUGUGUACGGUGGUUGAGAGGGUUCGGUCCGCUAAGAGCGGACUGACUGAAGCCUGCACCAGCCUUCUGACAAGCUUUGAGGUAUGCGACGUAAUUUAUGCAAAAAAGAAUAUCAUAGUAUAGACCGUAGCCCCUGAGACACUGUCCAGUGCUCGAAAAGAGAAGCCAGAUAGAGGAUCAAAUAAUUUUCGUAGGAGAUUAACCAAUAUAUGUCUAUAUGAAUAAGCAGGCGUCAAUGCUGGCUACGACCUCUCAUUCUGCCGAAGUCUCUAAACUGAAGCAAAGUUUGGAGCGGGCCGAGGAAGAGCUUGGCCAUGUUAAAAAACAACUAGAGGACCAGCAAGGUAUGGUCUAUUCUGAUGUAGAAAGAUAUGAAUUGUGUAUGUUGAUCAUACUAUCAUGAUAUUUCGUAGGGGCUGCGACCGAGGUGGAGACCCUCAAGAAGUCACAGGCCGAGGCCCAAGAGAGAGCAGCGAAGGAACAUGCCGCCCAUGAAAAUCACGAGGCUAGGGUCGGGGAGGUCCAGCAGGAGCUCCGGGAUGCGGCAAAGAAAUGCGAGUCCUUGGAGCGCAAGGUUUUGGACCAAGAGUCCGAACUUGCUAAGGCCCACCAAAGCACGCAAGAUGCCCGGGCCGAAGCCCAGGGCGCCCUCCAGGAGAUCCAGGAGGCCGGGAAAAUCGCGGUGGGUAAGGCCUUUAUUAUGCAGAGCAAAUUUGUGAAGAAAAGGUACCUAUUACUGACCCAGAUUUGGAGUUCUCCAGGAGCGUUUGCGGAUCUGCCGCGCAGUGUUACUGACGUAGCGGAUUUCUUCCGAGCCGAGGAGGGGAGCUCAACGGAGAAACUGUUCUGGUCGCAAUACCUUGUGCCAGAACAUCCGUGCCCUUUAGCGAUCAGCUAAAACACCUGAUCGAACUGCAUAGGGUGGCCGAACUGGCCAUGAAGGAUUUGAUAAUCCGGCUAUGGCCUGCUGACGCCCUGCCCUACAACUACUUCAGACUCGUGAAGCGGCUUGUCAAUGCCUGCCCUCGGCUUGAUGCCAUCAAGCGGUCAGUCUACAUCAAAGGUGCACGGAUGUCCUUCGCCCGUGUCAAGGUGCAAUGGGCGAAGAUGGACGCCAUGAAGCUUGCAAUCGAGGGACCGCCCAUGGGCAAGGAGCACCGCUCGUCUGAGCGGUAUUUUGAGGAUGUCGUGAAGGGAUCCCGCAUUGUAGAGGGCCAGUGUCCGAAAGACGUUAUCUUUGAAUAAAUACAUUCAUGUUAUCCUGUCCUGUAUUAUGCAAACAAGGCCGAUAUGUAAUAUAAUGCUUGUUGUUUAUUUUAAAAUUUUACCUCCUGUGUGGCCGUUUUAUUAAAUCUGAGAGUUGGCCAGUCAUCGGCUUCAGCCCCCAUGUAGGUAGUACGGGGAUGUUCGGGUUGAAACCUAAACACUCUUGAUCCAAGAUUUUGGUCCUUAAAGGAGGUGUUUAGCGCAGCGAACCAGGCAAUCGGACUGUGUGGCUUUAUCACCCUCACUUAGCCAUAGGAGUUUGACAAUAGAAAUGUAGGUGCAUCCCCUAGUAUUCGUUAGUCCGGACUAGGGUGUUGUAGACACCUGAUCGGGUGAAGGCCGAUCCGUCGCAUAAUGCAAAAAAAAUCGCAAGAGAUUUUAACCUCCGAACAGCCGACCAGCUCUCGCCGCAUCAUGACAGUCAGUUUCGGCUUUCUCUACUGAGGUGCUCAUCCGGAUGAACCAGGACACAAUCGCAGUAGUUCUCCCUUUACUACCCUAGCCGAUAGGACGGGACAUAAGGUAGCAAGCACAGGAGCCGGGCAACCCAACUAUUGACCAAAGACAUGAUUCAGAGCCGAUGCAUAUAAUGCUAAAUUCAGGGUGCCGAACUAUACUAUAAAAAGUGUUCGGACUUGUUGUCGUAGUAUGGAGUGCCAUGGAGCCCCUGGCGAAUUAAGGCAUACCAGAGUGUAUGGAUGCAAUCGAUAAGAAUAGCGAAAUAAAAUGAAGUAGAAAGCCAGUGCCACGUGAGUUGGGCCGCAAACUAUUUUCAUUAUAAUUUGAUUAAUACGUCAAAGCAUAUUUGUACAAAUAGUGUGAUAAGCAACGGGGCUAUUUAACAUGCCGAGACCAAGGGGGAGCUUCACACGGGUCCUGAAAACAGGUAGAGUGAUAGUCAAGAAGACCACCUAGAGAUUUCGCCACACCUCAACACUACUUGCCACCUUGGUAUAUCCAUCCUUCGAAAGGAUCGAUGAUCAGGCCAUUGAGAGGGACCUGUGGAAAAGAAACCUAAAAAGGAUAAAAAGGAAAGGGAAAAAUGUGUGUCCCGGGAGGGUCGAGCUGUAUUAUGGACCACAAUCGAGUUACGCCUCCGUCUUUGCCCAUGAUAUUUUGAGUGUGUAGUUAUGUAUGCAUGGUACGUAUGCCGCUAUGUGUUCUGGACUGAGACGGAGGCCAGUCAAACUCCUGAUGAGCUGGACUGUCCUGCUUCGGAGUAUUCUGGACUCGUUUGACAGUGUCUGGGAGCUUGGCCGCCGAAUUAAAAUUUUGCUUGAUAAGGCCGCUCUGUACCCCCGCUGCUAGGGCCGCAGUGUGCUGCUCGGUAUGGAGGGAGCGUUCCGUGUUUCCAUUGACUGUUAUGACACCGCGUGGUCCGGGCAUCUUGAGUUUGAGAUAAGCAUAGUGCGGCACCGCAUUGAAUCGAGCAAAUGCGGUUCGUCCGAGCAGUGCGUGAUAGCCGCUACGAAAAGGGACGAUAUCGAAGAUCAAGUCUUCACUUCGGAGGUUGUCCGGGGAUCCGAAGACGAAUUCCAAUGUGAUUGAGCCUGUGCAGCAGGCCUCUACGCCUGGUAUUACUCCUUUCAAGGUAGUUUUUGUGGGCUUGAUCCUUGAUGGAUCGAUGCCCAUCUUGCGGACUGUGUCCUGAUAUAGCAGGUUGAGGCUGCUACCACCAUCCAUGAGGACGCGCGUAAGGUGGAAUCCAUCAAUGAUUGGGUCGAGGACCAAUGCGGCUGAACCGCCAUGACAGAUACUGGUCGGAUGAUCCCCGCAAUCGAAGGUGAUCGGACAAGACGACCAUGGGUUGAAUUUUGGGGCGACUGGCUCUAUCGCGUAGACGUCCUUAAGCGCUCGUUUGCGCUCCCUUUUGGGUAUGUGGGUAGCGUAUAUCAUGCUUACCGUUUUAAACUGGGGGGACUUCUUCUGCCCCCCUGUGUUCGGCGGACGGGGCUCCUCGUCGUCAUUCUCACUUUGCGACCCCUUCUCCUUGUCUUCAACAUUUAACUUGCCGGCCUAUUUAAAGACCCAACAACUCCAGUGGGAAUGAUUGGCUAGUUUAUCAGGGGUGCCGUGGAUCUGACAUGGACGAUCGAGUCUGCGGUCCAAGCUGGAAGAGCCUGAAUUGUUCCUUUUAUAUGACUUCUUCCACUGACCGGACUUGGAGCUACUGAAUCCGGCGUUGACCGCCGUGUCAUCAGUAUUGUCACCAUUGUUUCGACGCUUAUGCCUGUUGCGUCGGGGCUUGCCAUUGCUAUUCUUGGCUUCGGAGGUGCCAGGUUCGCUUGCAUUAUUAUUACUACGGGCUAGCCAACUAUCUUCGCCCGCACAAAAGCGGGUCGUAAGUGUCGUGAGGGCUGCCAUGGACUUUGGCUUUUCUUGGCUGAGGUGUCGGGCGAGCCAUUCGUCAUGGAUGCUGUGCUUAAAGGCCUCUAGGGCUUCGGCAUUCGGGCAGUCGACGAUCUGGUUCUUUUUAGUUAGGAACCUGGUCCAGAAUUUCCUGGCUGACUCUCCGGGCUGUUGAACUAUGUGACUUAAGUCAUCGGCAUCCGGGAGUCGGACGUAUGUGCCUUGGAAGUUGUCGCGGAAGGCGUCUUCCAAGUCCUCCUAGCUGCCAAUAGAGUUUUCGGGCAGGCUGUUCAACCAGUGUCGAGCUGGUCCCUUGAGUUUUAGCGGGAGGUAUUUGAUGGCAUGAAGAUCAUCACCGGGGGCCGUAUCAGUAUGGAGAAGAAUGUCCUCAAUCCAUACUGCGAGAUCUGUUGUUACAUCAUAUGAUUUGAUAUUUACAGGUUUAAACCCUUCUGGGAAUUCAUGCUCCAUUACUUCAUCAGUGAAGCAGAGGGGGUGUGCGGCGCCUCUAUAUCGGGCCAGGUCACGACGUAGUUCGGAUGGAGUCCGUCUGCAGUUUUUGGCCCGGGCAUGAUUAUGCUUGUCAUGUUCGGCUUGAUAGCCGUCAUCACGCGUCGGGGCACGCCCCCGCGAUCCAUAGAUCUAUCUGGCCGGACCUGCUCUAUUCUUCAGGUCCUGCCGUAGGUCAUAUGUGUAUCCCCGAGCUAUUGUGUCUCUACCUUUACAGCGAGAUAGUAUGGGCCAGAGUUUGGCUUGAGUUGCCAUUUUGUCCCGGCCACGUGAUGGUCGGUCAGCUGCAUUACGUGCUGCUAGUACGGGUUCAAGUGCCUCGUCAUGGAAUUGAGGUAGCAGUUUACGCUUCAGGUAACUUUUGGUUGGGUGCACGAGGCUGUAUUCCUCGGCUGCUAGGACAUUAGUCCAUCUGUCAUUGAGUAGAUCUUGAUCAGCUUGAAGCUGCUGUUGUUUCUUUUUCAGGCUCCUUGCAGUGGCUAUUAGCCGUUACUUAAAGCGCUCCUACUCGAGAGGUUCCUCAGGCACGAUAAAGUCUUCGCCGCCGAGGCUCACCUCGUCCUCGGAGAGUGGAAGGUAAUUACUGUCCUCCGAGUCUUCAUUUGCGGCAUGUUCAUCAGGGCUAACUUUCCCAUCCUCCCGAUCGUCUUGUUCGGAGUUUUGCUCGAUGGGUUUUUCUUGGUCUUCGGCAUCGUCAGGGGUAUUAUUGUAUCUCAUGCCGGUAUUGCUGUCUUUGCUGCGGCGUGAUUUAGAGCGGCAUCACUGACAUUUUGCCUGUAUCUCAGGAGGUUUAUCCUUGACUGGAUUUUUCUCAUUAUCGCCGUCACCCUCUUUGGGUGUAUCCAACAUGUACAUGUCAUACGAAGAGGUGGCCGUCCAGCGCCCAGUAAACGGUGGGUUUUGGGCCUGCUCUUCUCCGGCAUCGUCGUCCAUACCGUCGAUGUCUUUGGAGCCAUAAUCGAGCAUGCCAGUUAAGUCCUCGACAAUGGCGAUGAAGUGGGUGGUGGGUGGGACGUAAAAUUCCCCUCUCUCAGCCCCUAGCCCGGGUUGGGUGUAGUUCGGACGUUGCUCCUCUGUAAUAACGAGGGAUCGCAUCAAGUCCAGAGCCUCGCUUAAAGGCGAGGUUUGUCCAGGGAGAAAAGAAACCAUGGAGUACGGCGGGAAGGGGACUCCAUGGCCGAGCUCACACGAGGCUGACUCCGCGGGUUCGGAGCUAGUGUCCGGAGAAGAGUCCGGCUUCAAGACGGUUGCCAGUGACACUGCUUCCUCCGGCUCUCCCGUACUGGGCAUAGUAGCCGCAGAUAGUCCGGCGGGACUAGAAAUCCCAUCUUCGGACCCGGUGACGCGCUCCAGAUCUAAGGCCAGAGCGGAGGUUGGGGUCGUGAAUCCUUGGAAGAUCAAGUCUCCUCAGAUAUCAGGGACAUAAUCCAGGUUUCCAAAACUAAUUUGGUGACCUGGGGUGUAGCUGUCGAUCUGCUCUAGAUGGCCAAGCGAGUUGGCCCGCAGUGCGAAGCCGCCGAAUACGAAGAUCUGGCCGGGGAGAAAAACCUCCACAAGGGCGGCAUCGUUGCGGAUGAUUGAUGGAGCCAUCGAACCUUCUGGCAGCGACACAAUGGAACUCUCAAUGAAAGCACCAAUGUCGGUGUCAAAACCGGUGGAUCUCGGGUAGGGGGUCCCGAACUGUGUGUCCAAGGUCGAUGGUAACAGGAGACAGGGGACACGAUGUUUACCCAGGUUUGGGCCCUCUUGAUGGAGGUAAUACCCUACGUCCUGCUUGAUUGAUCUUGAUGAGUAUGAGGAUUACAAGAGUUAAUCUACCACGAGAUCGUUGUGGCUAGACCCUAGAAGUCUAGCCUGUAUGAUUGUGAUUGUUCUCUACGGACUAAACCCUCCGGUUUAUAGACACCGGAGGGGCCUAGGGUUAUACAAAGUCGGUUAUAGAGAAAGGAAAUAAUACAUCCGGACGCCUAGCUUGCCUUCCACGCAAAGGAGAGUCCCAUCCGGACACGGGAGGAAGUCUUCUACCUUGUUUCUUCAUGGCCCAAUAGUCCGGCCCAUGUCACACAGGCCAGACACCCGAGGAGCCCUUAAUCCAGGACUCCCUCACCUAGGCCACAAAAGGCCAGGUAAUGGGGAUAGUUCUUAGGGUAGUGGGCAGCAUAUGGCUUUGAUUGGUGAAGAGUCGGCAUCCUACACAGCGCUGUACAAGGGCUCGUGCAUUUGCUCGGGCCGUGGACCAGAAGAAGCCUGCAUGGAAGGCUUUGCUUACAAGAGCCCAAGUUGCGGCUUGAUGGCCACCUAGGCCAGCAUGUAUUUCGGCCAAGAGUUGCUGCCCCUUUUCUUCGGAGAUACAUCUUUGAAGAACUCCAGUAGUACUUUUCUUGUAGAGUUCUCCUUCUUGAACUUUGUAGGCCUUAGAGCGUCGAACUAUGCGAUGGGCCUCGUUCUGAUCAUUAGGGAUCUCCUGCCUAUUAAGGUAGGCCUAGAAGGGUUCGGUCCAUGGAGCAAUAACCGCCAUGAUUGCAUGAGCGGAAGACAUUGGCUCAGUGCCUUAGCCCCCAAUGAUAUCCGAAUCGUGUUCGGCGUCCAGGGGUGUAAUCGGCGCCGGACUGGUAUUUCUGCUCUCGUCUUGCCAUACCACAGAUGGCUUGAAAAGCCUUUCCAAAAAGGUGUUAGGCGGGACGGGGUUGCGUUUAGCACCCAUUCGAGCAAGUAUGUCUGCUGCUUGAUUACUAUAUCGAGCCACAUGAUGAAACUCGAGCCCCUCAAAUCGAGCUGAUAUUCUAAGUAUGGUGUUGUGGUAGGCCGCCAUCUUUGGAUCUUUUGCAUCGAAUUCACCAUUUAUUUGAGAUAUCGCGAGGUUCAAAUCCCCACGCACCUCAAGGCGUUGUAUGCCCAUAGAAAUGGCCAUCCGGAGUCCAUGCAGGAGUGCUUCAUAUUCCGCCGCGUUAUUGGAGUCCGUAUACAGGAUUUGUAAUACAUAACAAACUGUGUCCCCUAUAGGGCAUGUUAGGAUGACACCAGCUCCCAAUCCGGCUAACAUUUUGGAGCCGUCGAAGUACAUCACCCAGUUGGAUUAUGUGCUGUACUCUUUGGGGAGUUCGGCUUCUGUCUAUUCGGUGACAAAGUCGGCCAAUACCUGAGAUUUAAUAGCUCGGCGUGGCUUGUAUGUUAUUUCAAAUGGUAGGAGCUCGAUAGCCCACUUGGCAAUGCGGCCGGUGGCGUCUCGGUUGUUUAUAAUGUCAUUGAGUGGUACUUCGGAGGCCACCUUGAUCGAGCACUCUUGAAAGUAGUGCCGCAGCUUUCGAGAUGCCAUGAAGACCGCAUACACUAUCUUAUGAUAAUGCAGGUAUCGGGAUUUGCAUGGUGUAAGGACUGCCGAUACAUAGUAUACUGGUUUUUGGAGUGGGAAUUUGUGUCCCUCUUCCUCUUGUUCGACAAUGAGCACCGCGCUCACUACCUAGUGAGUUGCUGAUAUGUAUAGUAGCAUAGGUUCGCCGAGGUUCGGUGCGGCAAGGAUUGGGUUAUUUGCUAACAGAGGUUUUAUUUCUUCCAACCCGGCCGUUGCUGCAUCCGUUGUCGGAUUUCGGGUUCCGGCAGACCCUUGAGGUUCGAACACUAGGGUGCGCACAGAGAUUUCGCCUUCUACCUACCUGCGCCCCACCGCCGCGCUAAGAUCUAAGCUAUGGAAAGAACAACACAAGAGACACAGGGUUUAUACUGGUUCGGGCCACCGUUGUGGUGUAAUACCCUACUCCAGUGUGUGGUGUGGUGGAUUGCCUCUUGGGCUGAUGAUGAUGAGCAAUACAAGGAAGAACAGCCUCGCGAGGGUCUGUUCUUGGCUGGGGGGAUGAACUGCUAGGAGGAAUUCAGUCACCCUUCUCUCUCUCUCUCUCUCUCUCUCUCUCUCUCUCUCUCUCUUCUCUCUUCUCUCUCUGAUUUCGAUCCGAUCUCCAAUCUCCGAUCUCCGAUCUCUCCUCUACCCUGUGGGCGGCUAGUCCUAUUUAUAGGCAAAGGCCCUGGGCCUCUUCCCAAAUAUUGAGCGGGAAGGGCGCCAACAAUUGGCAAUUUUGAAGGGGAACAUCUGGUACACUUAUCCUGACUAAAGUUGGUCCUCGCCUGCCAAAGGCUCUGGUGGUGACGCUGGCUUGGGCUCCACAAUGACUUCCCCCCUGCCGUUGGACUGGUCUUGGUCUCGUUGCACCGAAACGGGUGCCUUUGCUUGAUGCUCUCGCCUGCGCUUGCUCCCUUUGCACCAAAGAGGAAAGGAGGACACUGCGCGGCUGGCGCCCGCCUGGCACCCUUGGUCGUCAUGGCUUGCGUCACGGGCACCUCGUGAGGUACCCCGCCUUGAUCUCUCUGCCUCCUCGCGAGCCAGCCUGAUGAGGCCGUGCCUGAGGGAGCUUCGCGUCGUCCGCCCCGCGAGGCUUGGCCCCUCGCGAGGGUCUUGGAUCUGUGUUGAUGAAGAUGGGCUGCGCUGGGCCCCCUUUUGAGCCAUGCCGCGGGCCGCAGGCAGGCAAGUCUGGGGACCCCCGUUCCCAGAACACCGACAGUAGCCCCCGGGCCCAAGGCGCGUCCGGACUUGGCCGUGCGGGGAGGCGAAAGGGCAAGAGCGAAGCAUUGUGGGCCCUAAUAGCCUGCGGCCUUGGGCGCCGUGUGGCGGUUGAUUGGACGUGGGCGUCUCCACUUCCCACGGCGCCUCGGCAACUGCACGGACUGGACAAGUCCCUACAUGCAAAGCGGGUCAUGAUUACCUGCGAUCGUGGAGGUCGGCGGUUGGCCUUCGCCGGCCAUAAGUACGGAACGGCGCAUGCCCUUCCAGUCCAUCCCUUCUUGCUUCUCCUUCUUCCCGGUCCUUGCUCCGUCUUACUGCGAUGGCUCCAAUCCGCCGGUUCUCGGUGACAGAGAAGGGAAAGGCUCCCUGAGAGGAACCAGACCCGCUCCCGCGGAAGAAAUGGCUCGCCCUCCGCGGCCGGGACGAGGGGCCCAUCAGGUGGUGUCGAGGCCCUGGUGCGAGCGGCCAUCGCCGGGGUUCCCGCUUCCCUUGUACGCCCACAUCGAGGGCUCUGAAGGAGUCGAUGUCGAUCGCCACGGGAGGCGCCGCCAUCGGCGCCGACGGGUCACGAAGGUGUGGGUCGUCCCCCCUGGGGUCCACACCGAGGGCUCCUAUCGAGAGUUCAUGCUCCACGCCGCCAUGCCUCCUCAGUCUUGGAUUCGCCUUCCUCCCUUCUUCGCCUCCAUCAUCCCGCAGGGAGAACUUCUGAAGCUUUGGCUGCAGCACGCCGGCUGCAGCACCCUCGCAACCGAGGCAGAGGUCGCGGUCGUUGCCCCGGGCGAGGUCUUCAUGACUCGAGGCUGGAGCGAAAUCGCCCGGGUUUGCAGGACAAGAGGCGCCCUCGUGAUCCACUUGGAGUAUGACGGUGCUUCGGUGAUGUUCUUCAAGGUCUUUGAUGCUAACAGGCGCCGGCUGGAGUGCUGCCCCGGGAGAGGUGGUCGGGACCCUGCUACGGCGAGGACUAGGCCCGCCGACCGCUCCCUUGGCGGCUCCUCAGGCGGCGGAGGCGUCGGAGGUUCCAGCGACUCCGGCGAUCUCUUCGCGACUCCGGAGACGAGCAACGACAGCUACGAGCCCCCGAGCUGGCGCCGCUCCUGGAGCAGGGCGGGCUCGUCAGGCCGUCGCUGACUCUGAUCUGGAUGGGGUUGGCGCCGGUGCUUGACGGCCAACUGUUGAUGAUGGCGUCUUUUGCAGGGGCGCGUGUAGUUAACGUCCUUUUAGGAUCUGUUCCCUGCGAGGAAUCAAAGACGCGUCCCGUGGGGGCUUGUAAGGUGCCUGUGAUCCUGUUUUGUUAAUAUAACCCUUGUCGUAGAAUUGCGUGAGUUGCUCAUUCCGUUAGCUCAGUUCUCCCUUUCGAACCUCACGAGGGCUUGGUGCUCUGCGCCGACAGGUCCCAGUCCCAAGGCGGCUUCAGCCGUCGCUGGUAUGCCAGGUCGCGAUGCCGUGGUCAAGGCCAGGAGGAGAGCGACCCGGGGUCCGGUAAGAGCCCCUGAGUCGCGAUGCUCAGGAGGUCCCCUUUGGCGCUCAAGCAGCCAUCGUUCAGUGAGAAAGGAGAGCGGCGUCGCUAACACAGGAUUGCAUUAGGUGCGGGGAUGGUGCCAUGAUAGCUGGUGCUUCCGGGUGGUGACUUAUCUCGAGAAUCAGGGGCCGCUCUCUGGUGUGUCGCCGGGUCCGUGCAUCGGCAGGCGUGAGGUUGCUCGGCGAGGUCCUCGCGUGUCCCUCCCAUCUCGCCUUUGCUCCCCAUUCUGCUCUACGUCCUCGGGUCCCGGCCCUCGAGCGAGUCUCAGCCGUCGCUGGUAUGCCAGGUCGCGAUGCCGUGGACAAGGCCACAGGGUGAGGGCUGGAGAGCCAGUAGGAGCCCUGAGUCACGAUGCUCAGGCACCCCCCCUUUAACAUGCAAGCAGUUUGCGCGGAUGAGAGUGAAGGAGACACCGCAAGGGCCUCGCCUGACGCAGCUCCUUUAGGAGAUCCUGUAGACCCAUCAUAGAAAGAACGAGGGGUUGCCAUGACAAUUGACAGUCAGCCAUUGGUUGCUUCCGAGGGGCGAUGAGGCACUGAAGGCUUGACGAGGUGGCGCCAUGCAGGGCUGCCGCGGCCAGAGCUCAGCCAUUCAGGUUUGUCGGCGUUGCAGGGACGGACCCAUGCGCAAGCGUUGUGCCGUUUGGGAGCAGCUCUGUCAGUUGGCGUCAGUUGAGCGGGCAACUAGGUCAAACACAUUAGCCGCGAAGGAGUGGAUUCAUUCAAAUAGAUGCUGGGAAGGCGGACAACACUGGGUCAGGCCCGAGCGACUUGGGGAUGAUGCAGCCCGAGGGGCGCCCCCAACAAGGUAAGCUAACAACAUAAAAUAAAAGGGAUACAUGCCGCAGGGACGGACCCACGCGACCUGGGAAUAAUGCAGCCCUGGGGGCGCUCCCAGCUGGAAAUGAAACUUGAAAGAUGACACCUGAUGAUGUUGAGGACGAAGGAGUGUUGGCAUAGCAGACUUGGUGGGCUGCGGAAGCCGAUCCUCACGAGCCCCCAGGCCCAAGGGCCUUGGGAGGCUCCGGAGGCGCUGGUGGCUCCUCGAGAACCAUCUCCAUCUCUGCCAGGGCUGCGGAACGCCUGGCCUCUUGAGCCUCCAUGAUGCCCCUCAUGAGGCGCUGGUACGUGGCAGCCGCGUUCGGCAAGCCGUAAGGCAUGCGAACGUAGCUGUGGGGUGGACCUUCAUAGCGCCCCACUCGUGAGGGCCAGAGGCGCUCCAGAGAGGCGACUCGAUUGAGCCCUGGUAUGUCGAUGCAGACGUGCAGCCCACCAUCCUCGCCUGGAUGGGGAGCCACAACUGGUAAGCGGCGGCCGCCUCUCAUGACUCUUGACUCCUGUAGCUCCCGAAUGGCCUUGCUGAUGAACUCCUGAGGGUCUGGCCCUCCUUGCCUUACUCCUUCUUGAGGGAAACGUGCUUCGAAACACGCCUCCAUGUGGUGCUAAAGCGCCUCCCUCGUGACCUUAGCCAGGUCGGUGGCACUCCAGGGGAGAGCCCCCGAGCCCUGCCUGAGGAGGGCGCCGGGCGCGCUUUCCUAUGCGAUGGAAGGAGGUUCCCCCUGGGCAGGCACGGGCCCUGAGGGGCCUGCCUCCUGAGGGGCCGGGCCGGACGAUGUCUUCUUCUUCUUGGGGGCGGUCUCGGGAAGCCUCCUGCUUCUGCGAUCCGGGUCUUCCAGCGAUGCAGCCUGAAAGGCUCGUUCCAGGGAACACACCGCGUCCUUCUCUUCACAGGGCACCGUGAUGACUCCGCCACUUCCUGGCAUCUUGAGGACGUUGUAGCCGUGGUGAGUUACGACCAUGAACUUGGCCAGCGCUGGGUACCCAAGGAUGGCAUUGUACGGUAGGCGAAUGUGAGCGACGUCGAAGUCAAUGAGCUCGGUGCGGUAGUUGUCGCGUGCCCCGACGGUGACAGGGAGGCGGACCUGCCCAAUCGGGACCGUGGAGCCGUCGGUGACUCCGGAGAAAGGCUUGGUUGGCUGAAGCUGGUUGUAGGGCACUUGGAGAUUGUUGAAUGUUUCCACGGACAGGACGUUGAGCCCUGCCCCGCCAUCGAUGAGGGUCCUGGUGACCACCACGUUGCUGAUGAUUGGGGAACAAAGCAUCGGGAGGACUCCGGCUGUGGCCGCACACUUGAGCUGAUCUGCUGAGCUGAACGUGAUGGCACACGCCGACCACCUGAGAGGGCGCGUGGCUUCGAGCUUGGGGAGGACUGCAUUCACUUCGCGGGCGAACUGCUUGAAGAUGCAUUGAGAGGCUGGGGCUUGAGCCCCGCCCAGGAUGCAGGCGAUCGCGCGCGGCUCCUAGAAGCCCCCAGCCCCCUCGUCCUGAUGGCGGUCCUCGUUUCUCCUUGGCUGCAGCGGCAGCAGAGGGAGGCCUGCGUUGCCCAGCAGGCGAUCCUCGCGAGGCUGAUCCCUCCAGUCUCCCUCCCGAGGCGGGUCUUGCCAGCGAUCCUCGCGAGGUUGACCGCGCCACCCUUGGCAUGGGCAGCAGUCUUCCCAGCGUCCUGCGUUCCUUCCUCCUCCUCGACCGUAGCCCCGGUCACCGCGGUCGGGGCGACGGACGAUCCUUCCUUCUCGCACGUCUCGGAGCUCUUGACAUUCGUUGGUGUUGUGGGUGUGGAGGUCAUGGUACACACAGUACCGACUGCCCUUGGAAGAUUCAAGCUGAUCUCUGCCCCACUUGGUGUCUGGUUCUGCCGCGAGCACGACAUCCCCCUUGCGCUUCACAUCCUUGGCCUUGGGCUUCUUCUCUUCUGGGUCCGCGGCAGGCAGCUCGAGGAGGGAGAGACGCCCUUCUUCAUCCCUAGCGCACUUGGUUGCCAAGUUGAACAACUCCAAGGAAGUGCACAGGUCUUCAUGCAUCGUCAGCUCCUCCUUCAUCUUGACGUCGCGCACGCCAUCGGAGAAGGCUGAGAUGAUGGCCUCCUCGGUCACCUGGGGAAUCUUGAGGCGUGCGUUGUUGAAGCGCUAGAUGUACUUCUGCAGGGUCUCUCUGGGUUGUUGCUUGAUGCGGCGCAUGUCGCUCACGGCGGGUGGCCGGUCGCGAGUACCUUGGAAGUUGGCGAUGAAGCGGGUGCGCAUCUCGUCCCAGGAGGAGAUCGUGCCUGGAGCCAGGUUCAGGAGCCAGGUGCGGGCCCUGUCCUUGAGUGCCAUGGGAAACCAGUUCGCCAUGACCUUCUCGUCUCCGUUGGCAGCUUCGAUGCCUAGCUCAUAGAGCUGGAGGAACUCCGCAGGGUCGGCCGUGCCGUCGUAACGAGGAGGCAGGUCUGGCUUGAACUUGCCGGGCCACGCAACGCUGCGUAGCUCGGUGGUGAAGGCAUGGCAGCCUGCUGUGGCCACGGGAGGCCUUGGGUGACGGAGAGCUUGGUCUUGCAUGUCCCCACGCGUUGCAGCUGGGAGCAGCGCGGGGUCUUGACGUGCGGGAGCAGGAACAUGGUCGCAACGUGCUGGAGCAGGGAGCGUCCGGGCAGCUUCUUGCGGGCGAGGGACUUCUUGGCAGCUCUGCUGUUGCCGCGCUAGCACCUGACGGAGCAGGUUCCGCCCAGGGGCCACGCGCCUUGGAGCCAUGGUGCCUUCUUGAGGAGGAGGCGGCUGGGGCGCCCUCGGAGCUUCGUCGCCCGCACAGGGCGUGGUGCGGUGCAGCGUAACGAACGACACAGGAGAGCCCCCUGCGGCGCGGACGAGCUCGGCGACGUGGUCGAGCCAUUCUUCGUAGACGUCGUCGACGGGACGGUAGCGCAGGAGCUCGUUUGCCGCGAUAGCGCAGCUCGAGCCUCCAUGGGUGCGCGGAGAGUGCGGGACGAAGAACCAACUGGGGUGAGCGAGGGAGUAGCGGUGCGGCCGUCUUGCCGCACGGACGGAUGCUGAGACGAUGCUUGCUGCUCGUCCCCCGUCGGGCCGGUGGCAGCGUUGACGGCAGGUGAUGGGGAACGGCGAGGACGUCCACCAACAAGAGCCGUCUGGGCGACGCGGGAAGCGAGAGUGGCCCAGCGCUCGGCGCGGGCCCGACGAGCGUCAGACAUGGACGCGAUGGUCGGAGGAGAACAGGGUGGUGGAAGACGAAUUCCGGCGCACCCCUACCUGGCGCGCCAAAUGUCGGAUUUCGGAUUCCGGCAGACCCUUGAGGUUCGAACACUGGGGUGCGCGCGGAGAUUUCGCCUUCUACCUACCUGCGCCCCACCGCCGCGCUAAGAUCUAAGCUAUGGAAAGAACAGCACAAGAGACACAGGGUUUAUACUGGUUCAUGCCACCGUUGUGGUGUAAUACCCUACUCCAGUGUGUGGUGUGGUGGAUUGCCUCUUGGGCUGAUGGUGAUGAGCAAUACAAGGAAGAACAGCCUCGCGAGGGUCUGUUCUUGGCUGGGGGGAUGAACUGCUAGGAGGAAUUCAGUCACCCUUCUCUCUCUCUCUCUCUCUCUCUCUCUCUCUUCUCGAUUCUCUCUCUGAUUUCGACCCGAUCUCCGAUCUCUCCUCUACCCUGUGGGUGGCUAGUCCUAUUUAUAGGCAAAGGCCCUGGGCCUCUUCCCAAAUAUUGAGCGGGAAGGGCGCCAACAAUUGGCCAUUUUGAAGGGGAACAUCUGGUACACUUAUCCUGACUAAAGUUGGUCCUCGCCUGCCAAAGGCUCUGGUGGUGACGCUGGCUUGGGCUCCACAAUGACUUCCUCCCUGCCGUUGGACUGGUCUUGGUCUCUUUGCACCGAAACGGGUGCCUUUGCUUGAUGCUCUCGCCUGCGCUUGCUCCCUUUGCACCAAAGAGGAAAGGAGGACACUGCGCGGCUGGCGCCUGCCUGGCACCCUUGGUCGUCAUGGCUUGCGUCACGGGCACCUCGUGAGGUACCCCGCCUUGAUCUCUCCGCGUCCUCGCGAGCCAGCCUGAUGAGGCCGUGCCUGAGGAAGCUUCGUGUCGUCCGCCCCGCGAGGCUUGGCCCCUCGCGAGGGUCUUGGGUCUGUGUUGAUGAAGAUGGGCCACGCUGGGCCCCCUUUUGAGCCACGCCGCGGGCCGCAGGCAGGCAAGUCUGGGGACCCCCGUUCCUAGAACACCGACAUCCGUCCACUCGAAGUGAUUGGUACAUCACAGCAGGCGAUAAAGUGGUAGUGCAUUUUCUCCCAACCUGGAGAUAAAGCGGCUCAAGGCUGCCACACACCCAGCUAGUUUUUGGACCUGCUUUAGGUAUGUUGGUGUUGCCAAUUGCGAGAAGGCUCGAAUUUUGGUUGGAUUUGCUUUGAUUCCUCUAUUGGAAACAAUGAACCCGAUCAGCUUUCUGGCUGGGAUGCCGAAAACGCAUUUUUCUGGAUUGAGCCGUAUGUCGUAUGUUCGGAGGUUGUCGAAUGUGAGGCGCAAGUCAUCCACCAAUGAUUCGACAUGUUUAGUUUUGAUGACUACAUCAUCUACGUAUGCCUCCACUGUCUUGCCAAUUUGUUUUCCCAGGCAUGUUUGAAUCAUGCGUUGGUAGGUGGCGCCAGCAUUUUUGAGUCCGAAAGGCAUAUUUUUGAAGCAGAAAGGCCCAUAUGGGGUGAUGAAUGUCGUUGCGGCUUGAUCGGAUUCCCUCAUCUUAAUUUGAUGGUAUCCAGAGUAUGCACCGAGGAAGCACAGUGAAUCAUGUCCUGCAGUUGCAUCAAUGAUUUGGUCAAUGCAGGGCAGUGGAAAUGGGUCCUUAGGGCAAAGCCUUGUUCAGGUCUUUGAAAUCGACACAAAGGCGCCAGGAUUUAUCCUUCUUUGGCACCAUGACCAGGUUUGCUAGCCAGUCCGGGUGUUUGACCUCUCCGAUGAAUCCAGCUUCAAGUAGUUUGGCUAGAUCUUCCCCCAUGGCUUGUCGCUUGGGUUCAGGAAAUCACCGCGACAUUUUCUUGACUAGUUUAAAGCCUUUUAUUAUAUUGAGGCUGUGUUUGACUAGUCUGCAUGGGAUUCCUGGUAUAUCCAAAGGAUGCGAGGCAAAGGUGUCCCGAUUUUCGCGCAAAAAUGCUCUUAAGGUGGCGUCGAUCGUUGGAUCCAGCUGUGCUCCAAUGGCUGCAGUUUUAUUAGGAUCCGUUGAGUGUACUUGAAAUUUGACUAUUUCGUCUGCUGGUUCAAAGGAAGUGGAUUUGGGCCUCUUGUCGAGGAUUACAUCGUCCUUGUCCACUGUAGAGCGCAGAGUAGUCAGUUCCUCGGCCGCAAGGGCCUUGGAUAGCGCCUCGAGGGCUAGGGAUGAGGUUUAGUUUUUGGCGCGGAGUGCUAUAUCCGGAUCACUGGUGAUAGUGAUAUCACUCCAUUGGGCCCUGGCAUUUUGAGCUUCAUGUACCCUUAAUGGGGUAUAACUUGAAAGUGUAUGAAUGCUUCUCGCCCUAACAGGGUGUGAUAUCCGAUGUGGAAAGGUGCCACGUGGAAGAGCAACUCUUCGGACCUAUAGUUGUCCAGCGUGUCGAAUACGACGUCGAGUUUGAUCCUCCCCGAGCUUAUUGCUUCUCGAUUGGGGAUGAUGCCUCGGAAAGUGGUGCCGCUUUGCUCAAUGCGACUUUUGUCCAUCUGCAUUUUCUGGAGCGUAUCUUCGUAGAUGAGGUUUAAUCUGCUGCCACCGUCCAUGAGUACUUUGGUGAGCCGAAAGCCAUCUACUAUUGGGUUUAUGACCAAAGCGGCUGGUGCUCGGACUGAUCUGGCCCUUGGCUCAUCAUCGACGGUGAAGGUUAUCACCAUGUCAUUCCAAGGCUUUACUACGGCUACCUGGUUGACUUCGGCCAGGACGCGCAGUGCCCUCUUGCGCCGAUUGUUGGAAGAAAAGGUCUCGAAGACCGUUAAAACAUCGAGAUCGGCAUUUUCCGAAGAGUGCCUCUCUAAAGGAAUGCUGGUGAGGAUGGCCUCACCGCUCUUAGCCACCUGCUGAAGUACCCAACAUGUCCGAAGGCUAUGUGUUGGUUCGGUAUCCGGCGUUGUAUGUAUAUUACAAGGUUUAUCAAGCAGUUCGUCAAGGACAGGUUUGUGUCCCGUAAAGGGCUUCACUUUUUUCUCCAUGGGAUGUUGAUCAGGUGCCCCAUAGGGGUGCAUCCUUUUUGUCCGUCUGGCGGGCUGCUUGAAGGCAGGGGGUUCCCACUGAGCUGUUUGUGCCUUCUAGGUGCUUUCCAUUGCAGUGUACUUAUGUAUGAUGUGUGCCAGAACUGCAAAGUGCAGUAUGCGGCGGCAGUUGAGGGCAUUAAGGAUUCCCCCGUCCAUGCAAUUUCGGCGAAAUAUUGAAACCGCGUCAUCGUCACGGUAGUCCUUGAUCUUAUUUUUGACAAGGAGGAACCUAGCCGAAAAGUGGCGGACUCUUUCAUCAAGUUGUUGCCGCAUGUACAUUGGGUCGCAUACGUCUGGAGGACCCAAAUUGUUGGGGAAUAUUGCAUGUGGUGGGUGGGCGGGCUAAAAUCUGAAUCCUGACCCAUUAUUGCAUCCGGAGUUUGAAGAAUUUGCGAAGUCACCAAUCCAGGGUCCUGAGUGUCUUGGUAGUCUUCGGGCUCAAUGCCCGGUUCUAUGUUCGGAGGACAUGAGGUCUCUUCCUGAAGAUGGGUAUCUGGCUCAUAGGACUCGGAAAUCCGAACAUAGCUUGUUCUCAACUUAGGGGGAGAAGUAUCAUCGGUUUGUUCCUCCACAACCGCUACCAGAUGGGUGAUCGACGGGGACCUGAUUUCCUCUGAUCGGGUUUAAGCCCAAUCCGAUUAUAGUCUAUUGCUACUCCCAGGGCGGCGAUGCGAUCAAGUAAUUCAUUUAAGGACGAAACAUAUGCCGGAUCCAGCUUUUCGGGGUGUUCGAGGCCAACGCAAAGAUGAUGUUUAGCGAUCUCGAGGGCAGCCCUUGGCUUAAAGGUCGUACGGGCGCCCAUGGUGAAACUCCCGAGCUAGAGGAGUUGUCCCAGAGCUAGGGUCUCUCUAGAGGUAAUGUUGUUGUUAAUGACAGGGCGAGCCAUCGAUCCCACCGUCGAUGGCACAAUGGAACUCUCAAUGAAAGCAUCAAUGUCGGUGUCAAAACUGGCCGAUCUCGGGUAGGGGGUCCCGAACUGUGCGUGUGAGGAUCGAAGGUUAUAGGAGACAAAGCCACCAUUCAUAAUUCUUUCAUACAUGUUACUCUUGAUUCAUUGCACAUCCCGGUACACCGUCGGAGGCAUUCACAUAGAGUCAUAUUUUGUUCUAAGUAUCGAGUUAUAAUUCUUGAGUUGUAAGUAAAUAAAAGUGUGAUGAUCAUCAUUAUUAGAGCAUUGUCCCAGUGAGGAAAGGAUGUUGGAGACUAUGAUUCCCCCACAAGUUGGGAUGAAACUCCAGGCGAAAAAGAUAAAAAAUAAAAAAAGAGGCCAAAAAAAGAGUGGGCCCAAAAAAACAAAAAAAAAACA
rnacentral:lncRNA from 1 species